CUCGCCCUUUGUAUCCCAGAUGUUCCACUGGCUCUGGAAUCGCAUCACUUACAGCAGCUUGAUUGUCUUCCGAGUUAGCACCUGAAUCAGCUAAUUUGCCGCAGAUUGGAUCACCCUUCGGCUUCUUAUAACUAGGUGACCUUUUCUUCAGGAGGCAGAGGACAAAGGAACCCACCUCAGUUUCUGUAAACUCAUGGAUUACCCAAUCGGUCUUCGUUGCUUUCGGCCCACGUGCACGACCUUCGUGGAAGGUCAGAAACCUCUUCUUCCCAAUCACAGCUUGGGAUUCUUCAGCCCUGAUCUCCCUCUCACCUCCUGUGCUCUUGUAAAAGCCUUUAUACGUGGUCCGGUUGCGGCGAGGCUUGUUGAUGUCCUUGUAUUUGGGCCGGCUGAAGAAGAACCAUUCCUUCUCUUGAACUUCUGGAAAGAAAGCUAAAAUCCAACAACAAAACAUAAUGUUCAAAAUUUGAAACCAACCCAUCCAACUCUUGAAGAACAAAAAAACACAAACACUGAAACACGAUCACACAUUUUUGUGUGCAACAAUAUUAUACAAUAGGAAAGAGAUAUGGGUUGGCUCUUUAAAGGGAAAUUAAAUCGAGAUCAACACAAAGCAAAUUUAAUUUUUUUUUUUUUUUACAAAACACAGAACAAUAUAUUAAAAUUGAAACCAACACACCUCAAGAAUUCUUGAGGUACAAGCGAUAUUACUACUCUCAGUUAUACCAGGGGAGGGCAGUGGGCACUGGAAUUUAUGCAUACAACAAGAUCAUCAAUAGAUAGAAACAGAGCACUAGAAUUACUACAAAAAAAUGAAAAUCGAAACCAACCAAAUUCAAUUCUGAAAUGAAAAAAAAAAAAACCGAAAUAUCGAAACAGUAUAAUAAAUGUAAAUAAACAACAUCAGAAUCCACCAGAAAUAAGGAAUGGCUAGUGAAGAAAAAGUGAAACAUAUUAGAGGGUUUACCAGGAAUAUCCCAGGGCUCGUACUUGCUGACAUCGAUCUCAGGGAUGACGGAGCGGAAAUGGGAGUCGGUGCCCUGUAUCUUGUUCUUCAAGUAGUAGCAAACCAGCAACUCAUCGGUGGGGCAGAAUUUGAACCCAGGUAGUAGGAUCACAUUCACAUGAACCUCAUCUCCUUCUGCAGUUGUCAUGCUGCUGCUGCUGCUGCCGCCGCCACCACUGCUCAUCACUCUCUCUCUCUCUCUCUCUCUCUCUCUCUCUCUCUCUCUCUCUCUCUCUCUCUCUCAACUUUGAACUAUGAUUCUUGAUCAGUGUUUUGGAUUGUGUGGGGAAGCAGCAUUUCAGUGAAGUUGUAUUUAUACACGCUCAUCAAAGACCCACUUAUCACUCAAAGCACUGGACUUUUGUAUAUUUUCCAAGUCUUUGAGCUUGAGGAGUAAGUUCAUCUUUUGCGCCCUCCACUUUUGGGGUUUCUUUCAUUUUGGUCUUCCAACUGUUUCAUAUCACAAUAAUAUUUUUAUCUAAUUCAAAUUACCGUGUGAUAAAUUUUAACUUGGGUGAUGAGAAAAGAGUAUACUCCUCUAGCUACUUUGGCUACGGUUAAUUUUACACGAAUUUAAUUGCAAGUCAUAUUACUAUUCUAAGCUACAGCACUAACAGGAAUAUGAGAGUUUCUAUGAUAGGUGUAAUGGACUGGAAUAAGGUCCCUAUCUAAACAAAACAAUCUACCACUUGAUUUUCAUUACAACCGGAAACCGUCUAAAUUGAAUUGCACACAACCUUUAUUAUUUUUACAAGAACUGGUAGAAAGAUUUAAUUAAUCAACCAACAAAUUAUACAAUUACAGAGGUGCCAAAUGUAUAAAUUUUUUAAGAACUAAUAAUUUAAACUGGAGAUAAUUUACAUAGACAUAAAAAACAGUAAAUCUCCUAUAUGGCCAGCACCACAUGAAUAAGAACAAAAGAAAACCAUUGAGAACCUAAACCAUUAUAAAGUUAUAAUGAAUUGUCGAGAAAUUUUUUUAGAGUGUUGAGAACAAAGUUGAAGACAUUAGAUGUCAUAAUACAAUUAGUUAGAGAUUCUAUGGAUUAUCAACAUUUUACCACAUUUUUAAAAGUUACGUGACCCAUUUGGUCCAAAAAAAAAAAAGGUUUAAAGACCUAAAUGUAAUAACUACUAAAACUCAAGGGGCAAAUUUAUAAUUAAGUCUCGACCUUCGAGUACAAGUUCUAGCUUUAACGCGUUAAUUUUUAGUUAAUUUUAUUCUGACAUAUAGUGGGAAUGAUAAAAUCGAGAGAACUCCAGAACAUUCUGGAGUCUGAUACAUUGAAGUUUGGAAAGCCUUGCUCAAAGGCGGAGCCUGAUGUCACUACGUCAACUGUGCAUAUCCAUGUGGAGUCACAAUAAUGUUGAUCAAGGUAUGAUAGGAUCCUAUCAGAUCCUUCUUUGUAAGAAUUUUGAAAAUUACUUUAUCCUGUUUGUUUUUCUGUUAUCCUGCAAUAAAAAUUUAUUUUGGAUUUUUUAUUUAAAAUUAAACAAAAAUAGUACUUAAUAAAAAUUAAUCGUACGAUAUACGAUUAAAAAAUACGAUAAAGUGAUCCUUGAGUUCUUCAUAAAGAAAAUUCAAAAAGGAACCUCAUAUGUGAAAUUUAUAGACGUUGCGGUAAUGGCUUUGAGUGUGGAUCCCACCACUUCCUAUCAAGUCUUUUUCACUUUGUAAUUUGUAAUUUUUGUUUUUUUUUCUUAUGAGGAAUCUCAUCUUGUAAUUGGAGAUUGAAAAGCCAACAUUUAAGCUUGCACCAUUCUUUUCUUUCCCUGAUGAUGACUAUUCAUUUUUCUUGAGUAGCACGUCAAUUUAGUAUCCACGUAUGUUUAAUUUUUGAAUUGAUUCGAAAAUUGUUAGAUCAAAUUGAAGGAUCAUAAAUGUGUAGAACGUUGUACCAGUAAGUGCUGAAGAAUAAUUAGUUUGAGGUUGUACACACGAAAUCCUGUGACAAAUGAAAUAAGAAUACAUGUCCAAAGAAUAUUGUGUUAAUGAAUUUGUAGGGUUAUAAUCUCUUUAAUUGAAUCCUCUGAUUUGAUCUUCGAACAUGUAAAGUGUGUAUGUAGGGAUUGUUAAGAUGAGCGCAAAGUCUGUUAAAAUCUCAAACCAUUCUCACUCUCAUUUCGCAAAAUUGGUAUUUGUGGAUCGUAUUCAUAGCUGCAGUCCUGAAAUUGGUAUAUAAAACAAUCAAUUUUAUGAGAGAGGAAGAAACAAAAUAUGCAAUUGAAAAUAAUAUUAUCUCUUUCUUCUUCAACUUGCAACAAAAUAAAUAAAUAAAUUUAAUGGCAUUAUUUUUUAUUAUGACAGCUUAGUUACACACGCCUAGCGAGUUUGCACAGACUCACCUAAGGGGCAAGUCUUCUCUUUUCUAUGUCUUGCAGCAUUUAUGUUUUCACCAAUUUUUUUUAAGGAAAAUUAAUGAAAAUGGUUUGAAAACUUUGAGUUUUAAUGAUAAGGAAAAAAAAAAAGGUAAAGUGAAUAGUACUAGAAUUGACUUUUUAGUGUAAAAAUAUGAUUUUUCGUUAAAGUAAACAGUACCAGAUGCUUUUCGUUAAAACUAUUUUAUUUUUAGGAAUUGCUAGCCAGACUCGCUAGUAAAGCAAGUCUAGGCAGUCUAGGGAGAAUAGCUAGGCACGAUGCGCUUCCAUCCCGUACUCAAAACAACCUGGGACCCACAUUAUUAAAAAACUAAAAAAAAUAAUAAAAGUGCUCAUGAAAAACUCAAAAUACUAGAGCACUUCAAUUGAUACUCGGAGCCCUUCUUAAGAAAAAUAAUAAAUGGUGAGUGCAAUUCAAUUCAAACAGUUUUCUGAGCAAAAUUAUUUCAAUAAAAAGAGACGUUUAGAACUAGCAUCGGUGGAUGAUACAAUAAUGCUUGAGCAUAUUAUGCAUAUGCAGGAAGAUAAUCUCAAAUUUUUUUAUGCAAUGGAUGUAGAUGAAAAUCAAUGCUUGAAAGGUCGUGAAGACUAUAGACUUUUGGAGACAUGGUUUCCUUUGAUACUACAUACAUCACAAAUAAAUAGAAGAUGACAUUUGCUCCAUUUAUUGGCGUGAAUAACCAUUUUCAAUCCACAAUACUUGGAUGUGCAUUGUUUGGUUAAUCAAAACAUGGGUUAGAGCAAUGGGUGGAAACCUCUAGCUGCUAUACUAACUGACCAAGACAAAGCCAUGAAGUCACCAUUGCUCAGGUAUUUCUAAAUUCACGACUUUGCUUUUGUUUAUGGCAUAUAUUAAGCAAAGUUGCAUACACCGGUUCUGAUUUGGUUCUUGCUGGUUUACGGUUCCGAAUACUAAAUUAUUUGAACACCAAAUCAUCAUGCAUUCAAAUACAUCUUCUAAAACUGAUUAUAUAAAGUUGCAUACAACACAUCUUUUUUUAAUGCAAAUGUCUUUGGUAGUGGCACCAAGUCAACAAAAAGAGACAACUAAAAUACAUAUGCAUUGGUCAAACAGUUAUCAGUCAGCAAACAAAAAAUUUAUGAAGCAAACUGCAGAUUUUUAGACUUCAAAGAGCAAGCAGGAAGCAACAACUUUUGUACACAAUCAGCAGCUCCCCUCUUGUACACAAUCAAUUAAUCAAACAACAUAUAAUCAAAUCAAACAACUUAUUCCAGAGAGCAAGCAGAAUCAAACAACUUAUUUCAGAGAGGAAGCAUGGGCUUCCCCAUUUUUAAAGUUUGAAUAAGCAUCAAGAAAAAUAAAAACCAUCUCAUGCUCAACUCAUUCUUGCCGAAACUUCAAUAUAAAAGGUGUACAUUUUUACAAGCUCCAAAUAAAUCUAGAAUUAGAGUCAUAAAACACCUUUCCUACACAUCUUAUGCAUUUGCAGUGUUCCUUUCUAGUCAUACCCACAAAUGUUAUAAUUACUCAAUCCCAAAUUUUAAAGCAUUUAAACACAUUUUGACUGCCAUUAUGCUCUAAAUUUCAACUUGCUGCCACUGAUUUAAACAUAAUCUGCUGACAAAUUUCAACUUGCUGCCCCACACAAAUUUAAACAAAAUCUUAUGCAUUUUGACUGCCAUCUGUAGGUUUAAAGUAUGCAUUUUGACUGCCACUGAUUGAAAGAGUAAAUUAUAAAUUCCACUAAAUAUGAAUAGUAACAAAAGGGAACAUAUAAAAGUGAAAGAUUAAGGAGAAAAGGUGAUACGGAAGGUGCUAAAAAAAUUAAAGUUACAUACAUACCAUCACUAGUAAAAAGUGAUAAGUUAGGACUGAAUAGUUUAUGAAUCGCCAAUGCUAGAUGUGCCACCAUUCCUUUUUUCUAGAACAUAUAAAAAUUAAGAACUCAUUAGAAAAUAAGAAACUCCGCCUAUGUCUUACAUGGCCGGUCCCAAGCCCGGAUAAAGGAGGAGGGGGAGGGCGUCAGGUAGUCGACAGCCGGCACUCCAUGAUCACGUCGAAUCCUUAUGAAAAUGAAUCCAGAACAAAAUCGCGCUAAAGCUAGGGCGUCACCCGUAAGUGGCGCGCUGUGUGGCCUGAGCACAGUGAUAAGUGAGCAAGGGUCGCUGUAUCUCCAUCGGCACCCGGAUGCAGUGUUAAAUGAGCAAGGGGGCCAUAGAAACUUCUUUUCGAACGACUCCACUCAAAGUUGUUUGGGAGCAUAUGCUCCUAUCAACUUUACCCGGGACACACAAAAGAAGUACUUUGAUCCUAUUAGACGGGGGAGGGUGAAGAAGCUAGGACAGAAGGGUAGAGUUCAAGAGAGCAAAAUGCGUUUAGGAACGUGGAAUAUAGGAACCUUAACGGGAAAAUCUAUGGAAGUAGUGGAAGUUAUGGUGAGGAGAAGGAUAAAUAUUAUGUGCCUACAAGAAACUAAGUGGGUUGGUAGUAAGGCAAAGGAUCUAGAAAACUCAGGGUUUAAACUUUGGUAUUCGGGCACAAAUAGAACGAGAAACGGUGUUGGCAUCAUCGUGGACAAGACCUUGGUACAAGAUGUUGUAGAUGUCAAGAGGGUAGGAGAUAGAAUCAUGGCAAUCAAGAUUGUAAUAGGACAAGAACUUAUCAAUGUGAUUAGUGCGUACGCACCUCAAGUAGGGUUGGAUACGAGUUCGAAGGAGAAAUUUUGGGAAGAUCUUGGAGACUUGGUGCAAGGAAUUGCUCAGACGGAGAAGUUAUUUAUAGGAGGAGAUUUAAAUGGACACGUGGGCAGGGAGACAGGCAACUAUGGAGGUUUUCAUGGUGGCCAUGGUUUUGGGGAGAGAAACGAGGAUGGGGAAGCUAUCUUGGAUUUUGCAAUGGCAUAUGAUCUCUUUCUUAGCCAACACCUUCUUUAAGAAGAGAGAAGAACAUGUGAUCACCUACAAGAGUGGGUCGUCAAAAACACAAAUAGAUUUUCUUCUAAUGAGGAAAGGGGAUCGUAUAACUUGUAAGGAUUGCAAAGUUAUACCAGGAGAGAGCGUGGCUAAUCAACAUCGCUUGUUGGUGAUGGAUGUACAUAUCAAAAGAGUAAGACAAAAGAACAAGACUUGGAAGUGCCCAAGGACUAGAUGGUGGAAUCUAAAAGAAGAAAAACAAGCCAUUUUCAAAGAGAAGGUAAUCACCCAAUGUGUGUGGGAUAGAGAGGGGGAAGCUAGCCAAAUGUGGGAUUCCAUGGCUAGUUGUAUCCGAAAAGUAGCAAAAGAGGUAUUAGGAGAGUCCAAGGGCUUUGCCCCACACCAAAAGGAAUCUUGGUGGUGGAAUGAGGAGGUACAAACAAAGGUGAAGGCUAAGAAGGAAUGUUGUAAAGCCUUAUACAAGGAGAGGACUGAUGAAAAUGGUGAAAGGUAUAGAAAAAGCGAAGCAAGAGGCGAAGAAAGCUGUCAGAGAAGCUAAAGUUAGCGGCUUACGACGAUAUGUAUAAACGACUAGAUACCAAAGAAGGAGAGUUGGAUAUCUAUAAACUAUCUAGAGCAAGGGAAAAGAAGACAAGGGACCUAAACCAAGUGAGGUGCAUCAAGGAUGAGGAUGGAAAUGUUCUUGCUACAGAGAACGCGGUUAAAGACAGAUGGAGAGGUUAUUUUCAUAAUCUUUUCAAUGAAGGACAUGAAAUGAGUGCUUCUUUAGGGGAGUUGAGUAACUCAGAAGAGUGUAGAAACUACUCUUUUUAUCGUCGAAUCCGGAAGGAAGAAGUGGUUGUAGCUUUGAAGAAGAUGAAGCAUAAAAAAGCAAUAGGCCCAGACGAUAUACCAAUCGAAGUGUGGGAAACUUUUGGGAGAGACAGGUAUAACAUGGCUCACUGACCUUUUCAAUAGGAUUUUGAAAACGAAGAAGAUGCCAAAAUGAGUGGCGAAUGAGCACUUUGGUGCCUAUCUACAAGAAUAAGGGCGACGUACAAAAUUGCAUGAACUAUAGGGGUAUUAAGCUAAUGAGUCAUACAAUGAAGCUCUGGGAGAGAGUCAUUGAGCAUAGAUUGAGGCAAGAGACACGGGUUUCGGACAACCAAUUCGGGUUCAUGCCAGGGCGCUCAACCAUGGAGGCAAUCUAUCUCUUACGAAGAUUGAUGGAAAGAUAUAGAGAUGGGAAAAAAGGAUUUACACAUGGUCUUUAUAGAUUUGGAAAAAGCGUAUGAUAGGGUCCCAAGAGACAUUCUUUGGAGGAUUUUAGAGAAGAAAGGAGUACGAGUAGCAUAUAUCCAAGCUAUAAAGGAUAUGUAUGAAGGAGCAAAGACUGCCGUAAGAACUCAUGAAGGACAAACCGAAAGCUUUCCCAUAACUGUAGGAUUACAUCAAGGCUCAUCCUUAAGUCCUUACCUUUUUGCGUUGGUAAUGGAUGAGUUAACACGACAUAUUCAAGAUGAUAUUCCUUGGUGUAUGCUUUUCGCAGACGAUAUAGUGUUGAUAGAUGAAACUCAAGAAGGGGUAAAUGCAAAAGCUUAACCUUUGGAGAGAAGUGUUGGAAUCUAAAGGUCUUCGCCUAAGCCGAUCAAAGACAGAAUAUAUGGAGUGCAAGUUCAGUGCAAAUGGAGGCCAAAACGAGUUAGGGGUGAGGAUCGGAGAUCAAGAAAUACCAAAGAGCGACCGUUUUCGUUACCUAGGAUCUAUCUUGCAAAAGAACGGAGAAUUAGAUGGAGAUCUCAACCAUAGAAUACAAGCUGGAUGGAUGAAGUGGAAGAGUGCAUCCGGCGUGUUUGUGUGACCGCCGUAUGCCACUGAAGCUCAAGGGAAAAUUUUAUAGGACGGCAAUAAGGCCGGCGAUGCUGUAUGGCACAGAAUGUUGGGCGGUGAAACAUCAACACGUACACAAAAUGGGUGUAGAGGAGAUGAGGAUGCUUCGUUGGAUGUGUGGGCACACGAGAAAGGAUAAGAUUAGGAAUGAGGAUAUCCGGGGUAAAGUAGGAGUAGCCGAAAUUGAAGGAAAGAUGAGAGAAAAUCGGUUACGGUGGUUUGGACAUGUGCAAAGAAGGCCUACUGACGUUCCGAUUAGAAGAUGCGACUAUGGGACAGAGGUUCAGGGUCGAAGGGGUAGAGGAAGACCUAGGAAAACUUUGGAAGAGACUCUAAGAAAAGACUUAGAGUACUUAGAUCUAACGAAGGACAUGACACAGGAUCGAGCACAAUGGCGUUCUAAGAUUCAUAUAGCCGAUCCCACUCAGUGACUUGGAUUUUCCAAGUCUCCAACCGAGAAGUUUUCCUCACUCGGGAAAUUAAGGGAACACUACCCCAACCUACAUGCUCCACUCAGAAAGCUUCAACAUACAAGCUUUAACAAAAGAAAAUUCAAAGAACUUAGCGAAGAAGGCUUUGGUGUAUUUAACACAAUACGUUGAAAUGAAGGAAAGCUUAUUUAUUGAUAUCCCCGAUAAGCUACAAAUAUGUACAUAUACAUGAGUCAAAAUAAGCACACAAGAGGGAGCCUUCACAAAGGUUGCUUAGGAGAAGUCUCAGCAGCAGUCGGUAGAGCCCUAGAAAGAUAAGGCACCGGAGGGGGAUCAUUUGGAGCCUCAGUACUGGACAGAACCCUAGAAGGAGGAGGCAUCAGAGGUUGAUCAUUUGGAGCUUCAUUACGCGGUACAGCCCCAGAAGACGAAGGCAAUAAAUGCCUUUGGAACAAACCCACAAAUCUCUGAUGAUCAAGUAAAACCUGACCAUCAGUUUCCUUCAUCUGGUCAAGCUUCCUCUUCAUGUUUGUAGCAUAGUCAUGUGCGAGCCGGUGCAACUGUUUAUUCUCAUGCUUGAGCCCUCUAAUCUCCUGUUUGAGACUCAUCACUUCAGCCGCCAAUGAUUCAACUUGGCGGGUUCGAGCAAAUAGGCGUUGGGCCAUAUUAGACACAGAACCUGCACACUGAACACUGAGAGCCAGCGAAUCCUUAACAGCUAACUCAUCAGACCGUUUGGAAAGUAGUCUGUUAUCUUUGGGAGUGAGAAGGUUCCUGGCCACCACCGCAGCGGUCAUAUCAUUCUUCAUCACGGAAUCCCCAACGGUAAGAGGACCAGUAGGGGAGACGAAGGAUGGGCGCCAUAUGUUGUCUGGAGAAGGCGGGGCUGCCUCUUCAACAAGGUUCAAGUCAAAACGACGGUCGGAGGGGCCAGACAUUUUCAAAGGUGUUGAAGAGAGAAGAGGUCGGACAAAUCAAGAUCUUAGAAGUGCAAGAAUGAAGCUUCUACUGGUGGAGAUUCAAGUGUGCUUUGGAACUUAAUGCCAGCCCCUAUAAAAAUCUGCACUCGACGAAGCUUCAGAAAUCGAAGAGGCGCCUGCUCAGAAAUCGAAGAGGCGUUUGCUUUCUCAAAAGCUGGGCUGCUUAGAGAUCACGAGGGUUGAUCUCAGAAAUCGAAGAGGCGUUUGCUUUCUCAAAAGUUGGGCUGCUCAAAGACCACGAAGGCCGAUCUCAAAAAUCGAAGAGGCGCUCGCUUUCUCAAAAGCUGGGCUCCCCAGAGACCACGAGGGCCGAUCUCAGAAAUCGAAGAGGCACCUACUUUUCUAGCCUUUUCCAGCCUUGUCAGCACCUGUCACACGCACACUCAGUUUUGCGGAAAUUAUGGGCAUUCUGUCAAAGACUUCUGGGGAAGUAGAAAACACAUGAAUCUUACUGUUCAAUCACCCACUUCUCACACGCAACAAUAGCUCAUGGGUACCACAGAUAACUUUGCCAAAGUUCUCUGCCAAAGUUGAGCACGUGAAGCUUGCAGCUCCCACUACAUCGCUCUGACCAAGAAGGGUAAAAGAAUAGCAAAGAAACAGCACUAACAAAGUUUAGACCCAUAAAUUUUGAAGGUCUAGCUACCAUAUUAUUACCCACAAGGGUAAAGGAACAGUACCACUGCUGGAUAAUUGGAAAGUCCCUGUGUGUCAACCUCUGUGCUUCGUGGCAAGGUAGACUAGCAAACAUGCCCAACCUUUACUCACAUUCGAGACAACACUCCCAACAAGAUUGCUUGCUCCAAAAUCGAAGAGGCACCGCCCUCCGAAUCUCGAGAGCCAGACUCCCAACAUGAUUACUUUCUCAAAAAUCGAAGAGACACUGCUCCCUGAAUCUCGAGAGCCAGACCCCCAGCAUGAUUGCUUUCUCAAAAAAUCGAUGAGGCAUCGUUCUCCGAAUCAAUCGAAGAGGCGCUCGCUUUCUCAAAAGCUGGGCUGCUCAGAGACCACGAGGGCCGAUCUCAGAAAUCGAAGAGGCACCUACUUUUCUAGCCUUUUCCAGCCUUGUCAGCACCUGUCACACGCACACUCAGUUUUGCGGAAAUUAUGGGCAUUCUGUCAAAGACUUCUGGGGAAGUAGAAAACACAUGAAUCUUACUGUUCAAUCACCCACUUCUCACACGCAACAAUAGCUCAUGGGUACCACAGAUAACUUUGCCAAAGUUCUCUGCCAAAGUUGAGCACGUGAAGCUUGCAGCUCCCACUACAUCGCUCUGACCAAGAAGGGUAAAAGAAUAGCAAAGAAACAGCACUAACAAAGUUUAGACCCAUAAAUUUUGAAGGUCUAGCUACCAUAUUAUUACCCACAAGGGUAAAGGAACAGUACCACUGCUGGAUAAUUGGAAAGUCCCUGUGUGUCAACCUCUGUGCUUCGUGGCAAGGUAGACUAGCAAACAUGCCCAACCUUUACUCACAUUCGAGACAACACUCCCAACAAGAUUGCUUGCUCCAAAAUCGAAGAGGCACCGCCCUCCGAAUCUCGAGAGCCAGACUCCCAACAUGAUUACUUCCUCAAAAAUCGAAGAGACACUGCUCUCCGAAUCUCGAGAGUCAUACCCUCAGCAUGAUUGCUUUCUCAAAAAUCGAAGAGGCAUCGUUUUCCGAAUCUCGAGAGCCAGAUACCACAGACCACUUUUUCAAAGUGCUCUGACAGAGUUAAAACAUGUGAAACUGGCAGCUCCCACUACCGUGCUAUGACCAAGCAGGGUAAAGGAAUAGCAUUACUACUUGUUGUUAGGGAGACUCCUAUAUAUGUCGACCUCCAUCCCCAACGGACAGGCAGACUUGCAAAAAAUGCUCAACCCUUCAUCAUAUCUGAGAGGGCACUCCCAACGAAGCCUUUUCGAAAUAUUCAGCUUUCUUUCCCCCCGAUAAUACCUCUGCAAACAAGCUAUACUAGAGCAAGAAUAUCUCAUAUCAUCAGGGUUAAAAGCAAGAGUAUCCCAUAUCAUGCUUUUUCCCUGUCUUUUCUUUUGGCCUUGUUUUUACCUGCAAGACAAGGAGAAAGAGAGCAAUCAGUCAGCACUUGGAAUCAAGCUUCCAGCCAGGAACUGACUGCCUGGAACCCCUUACCUGAUUACUUACCUGGCAUUGCUCUCAAGUACUCAUCUUCAACAUCUUAUGUUUCCAGGGAAGAUUCCGCAUCUGCUUGAGGAACAGAUAGGGCAAGUGCGAAGGAUACAAGGAAGCAUGUGGAGACAAGCGUAACAGCACACGUGCCGAUACAUUCAUUACUCUGUCAAAAGCAAAAGUAUCCCAUAUCAGCAGGGUGGAACGUACUCUAGAUUUGAUGGACUUGUUUUGACCCUCAAAUUCUUCAGUCGGCCUUAUACUCUGGAGGAAACCAGAAAACCCUCCAGCUCAGUUCAAGAAUAAGCCUGUGGAAAGUUACUUCUUCAAAAGCAAAAGUAUCUCAUAUCAUCUCUUCUCAUUUUUCUUCUCUUUAUCCUUCAUGCUGCUGCAAGAUGGGGAGAAGGUGAACAAUCAGUCGGAGCUCUGAUUGCUUACCUUGUCUGUCACCUCUUUCAGCAAACCCCCUAGCUUGGCGACUUGGGGGACUCCUACUACAUGGUUUGUAUCGCGCUUGACCAAGCCUGAAACUACAAGUAAGCUUCAAGUGAAAUUGAUACAUUACCUUGUGCAUAUCCACCAGUUAAAGAUACCACCCCUGGAUGGAGGAAGAGUACUUCCAGAGAAGAUGCCACAUCUACCUAUGAGACAGAUAAGGCAAGUCAAGACGACACCACACUCCGAUACUUAUAAGUUUCGUGAUUACGAGAUCAUUCUCCCACAAUAUUUCCUAAUGUCAUUUGUACUAAAUCAUUCACUUGUACUCACUAAAUGAGAGCUUGAACCUAUGUACUUGUGUAAACCCUUCACAAUUAAUGAGAACUCUUCUAUUCCGUGGACGUAGCCAAUCUGGGUGAACCACGUACAUCUUGUGUUUGCUUUCCUAUCUCUAUCCAUUUAUAUACUUAUCCACACUAAUGACUGGAACAAUCUAGCGAAGAUCACAAAAAGCGAUCGUUUUCGCUACCUAGGAUCUAUCUUGCAAGAGAACGGAGAAUUAGAUGGAGAUCUCAACCAUAGAAUACGAGCUGGAUGGAAAGAGUGCAUCCGGCGUGUUGUGUGACCGUCGUAGGCCACUGAAGCUCAAGGGAAAAUUUUAUAGGACGGCAAUAAGGCUAGCGAUGUUGUAUGGCACAGAAUGUUGGGUGGUGAAGCAUCAACACGUACACAAAAUGGGUGUAGCGGAGAUGAGGAUGUUUCGUGGGAUGUGUGGGCACACGCGAAAGGAUAAGAUUGGGAAUGAGGAUAUCCGAGGUAAAGUAGGGAGUAGCCGAAAUUGUAGGAAAUAUGAGAGAAAAAUCGGCUCCGGUGAUUUUGAACAUGUGCAAAGAAGGCCGACUGACGCUCCGGUUCGAAGAUGUGACUACGGGACAGAGGUUCAGGGCCGAAGGGGUAGAGGAAGACCUAGGACAACUUUGGAAGAGAGUCUAAGAAAAGACUUAGAGUACUUGGAUCUAACGGAGGACAUGACACAAAACCGAGCGCAAUGGCGUUCUAGGAUUCAUAUAGCCGACCCCACUUAGUGGGAAAAGGCUUUGUUGUUGUUGUUGUUGUAUUAGAAAAUAAGAAAGUAAGCAUGCAAUAAAACAAGAGAAAAACAAAAACAAAGUAAUGAAAAAUAAAUAUUCGUACUUGUUUCAAGUGCUUCAUAAAACUCUAUAUCUUCCAAGAUUGUCUCAUCGUCUAAAAUUGAGAUGUUAUCUGACAUCAACCAAUUUUGAGUACAAAUUAACCUCUCUACCAUUAGAGGAGUCAAUGAAGAACGAUAUGGGUUCACAAUCCUUCCUCCCGUGCUAAAGGCAGAUUCUGAAGCUACCGUUGAGACUGGAAUUGCAAGAACUUCCUUUGCAAUUAGUGCCAACACUGAGUAUUUAACACCAUUCAAUUUCCACCAAUUUAAAAUAUCAAAAUCUUGACCUACUUCCACUUUUUCAUUGCGAUCUAACAAGUACUUAUCAAACUCAUGGUCCGAGAGCACGACAUUACUUGCUUCAACUUCUUUUAUCCAACUUUCGUCCAUUUCCGCUCGUUUUUUUCCCCCUUCCAUGUUGAUUUCGAUCAGCCCCACCAAUAGUAGUUGUAGUACUAGUAGUAUUAGAACAACUAUUAGCACUAGAUACACUUGGUUGGUUGGAAGAAUGAACAUAUUCAUCAUAUAGUUUGAAGAUUAGGCUUUUUAUCUCAUCCUUCUUAGCCAUGGCUUCAUCAAUACUACACCCACGAUGCUUCAAAAUAUGUGGCACAUAGCCCAGUUUAUAUCUUGGAUCAAGCACAAGUCCCACAAAUAGAAAAUGAUUCACUUUAACAAGAUCACCCAAAUACUUAUCAAAUUCUACCUUCAUGCUUCGUGCCAUUUCAUGCAAUAUCAAGCUUGUGUAGGUUUGAGUUAAUAACAUAUCUUCUUCGACGAACAAAUCAACUAUCUCUUCAUCAAUUGCAAGCAAAUCAGAAAAAUUACUAUGACAAGCCGGAUGCAAAACAACACUCAUCUUCAAUGUCAUUUGAUAGAACACUUUCAAAAGAUUGACAAAUAUAGCGGCAUUGCUCCAAUCUUCCAUAUUUGGUGGCCCAUACCUCUUUUUACCAUUGGAAGGUCCACCCACUCGUUCUUCUUCUCCUGGCACAUCUUUACCAAACCAUGACAAGUAUGCAAUCUCAUCAUCUCCCAUUCUCACAAAAGCUUUUUCAAAUUUUAAUACAUUUGUUAACAUCAAAUAGGUGGAAUUCCACCUAGUUGGCACAUCUAAAAAAACAAGACCCUUGUGUUGAUGCACAAAACCGCAGGUCUUGGAACAACGUAAAUCCGACCGUGAAUCUGCAAGUAAUGUAAAUAACACAAGAUGUAUCGUGGUUCACCCCAAGGUUUGGGUUACGUCCACACUAAUUGUAUUUAUUUGAGGAGAGAGAGCUCUAAGAGUGGAGUGUUGAGAGGGGGUGAGAGGGCAUAGGAAUUGGCCUCUCCUAAUUGUGAGGGUGAAGGGUCUUUUUAUAGAAUACGGACUCCUCACUUAUUACAUAUUUGCCCUUUCCUUUACCACAUAAUUACAUUUAAGUCCCUCGAGUAUUUAUACGAGGUCUAAAUACGAGGCCCUAAAUAUGAUAUAAACAGUAGUCCCCCAAGUCUUCAGUCAAGAGAGUCUUUUGGCUGGAGACUUGAAAUUCAGUCCAUGUGUGGGCUGAAGUAACUAGAUGUUGUUUUGAACUGAUGCUUGAUAUGAGGCAGUGCUCAAUCUGAAAUGACGCUCAACUAGAAGUAGCACACACUGUGAGGCUGCUCGGCUCGUGGCUUAUGUUGCCUUGGUUGGCUCGGCUUAUGGCGUUUGAAGGUGAGGGAGUCCCUUUUAUAGAAUAAGGGCUCGCUCCUCAAUACAUGAAUGAUGGGCUAGAGUUGAUGCUCUCUAAUGAUGGUGAGGGAGUCAUUUUUAUAGACUAAUGGCUCGUUCCUCAAUACAUAAAUGAUGGGCUAGAGUUGAUGCUCGCGGCGAGGCGGUUGCUCAGUAGGCAGCGAUGCUCUCUAAUGGUGGUGAGGGAGUCCCUUUUAUAGAAUAAGGGCUCGUUCCUUAAUACAUAAGUGAUGGUUUAAGAGUGAUGCUCGCGACGAGGCUGUUGCUCAGCUGGUGGCGUUACUCUCUAAUGAUGGUGAGGGAUUCCCUUUUAUAAAAUAAGGGCUCGCUCCUCAGUACAUGAACAAUGGAUGCUCUCUAAUGAAAGUGAGGGAGUCCCUUUAUAGAAUAAGGGCUCGCUCCUCAAUACAUAAGAAAUGGGCUAAGUCCCCCAAGUAUUUUUCAUGAGGCCCAGUUGAGGCCCAAUAUAUGGUACAUAAUGUAGUUCCCCAAGUCUUCGGUCAAUAGAGUCUGUUGGCUGGAGACUUCAAAUUGAAUCCAUGUAGAAGCCGAAGUGGUGGUUGUUCGAAGGCGGUUUUUGUAUACCCUGCACUUAAGCUUUGUGGGUGAAGCUUUGCAAGUGAAGCUUUGAAGCUAGAGCUCUGUAAAUGAAGCUUUCGAAGCUGGAGCUUUUGUAAAUGAAGCUUUUGAAGCUAGAGCUCUGUAAAUGAAGCUUUUGAAGCUAAAGCUUUUGUAAAUGAAGCUUUUGAAGCUAAAGCUCUGUAAAUGAAGCUUUUGAAGCUAGAGCUCUGUAAAUGAAGCUUUUGAAGCUGUUUGACAUGAGUGAUGCUCAUGAAUGUUUAUGUUGAUUGACAUGAGUGAUGCUCAUGGAUGUUGUCAUGAGUGAUGCUCAUGAAUGUUAACAUAAGUGAUGCUCAUGAAUGUUGACAUGAAUGAUGGUCAUGAAUGUUUAUGUAUGAUUAUCAUGAGUGACGCUCAUGAAUGUUUAUGUAUGAAUGACAUGAGUAAUGCUCAUGUAUAAUUUGGAGUACUGGGUGUACUUUUGAUUACCUGGUUGGUGGCAUGAAGGAGAGUACGGGUUGUACAUUUCAUCACCUAGUUGGUGGCAUCAAUGGCUAGUUGCCAAAUGAUAUUAGAGUACGGGUUGUACAUUUCAUCACCUGGUUGGUGGUAAUAGCGACAGGUUGCCGAAUAAUUUUGGAGUACUGGGCGUACUUUUGAUCACCUGGUUGAUGGUAAUAGCGGCAGGUUGCUGAAUAAUUGUGGAGUACUGGGCGUACUUUUGGUCACCUGGUUGGUGAUAAUAAAAGGUCUGGCUCUUUUGGGCAUAUGGGUCUUCGCCUUCCACAUGACAUUGUAGCCCAUUAUUUUGGGCUUUUUUUUUAUGCACAAAACCGGAGGUCUUGGAACAACGUAAAUCCGACCGUGAAUCUGCAAGUAAUGUAAAUAACACAAGAUGUAUCGUGGUUCACCCCAAGGUUUGGGUUACGUCCACACUGAUUGUAUUUAUUUGAGGGAGAGAGAACUUUGAGAGUGAGAGCGUUGAGAGGGGGUGAGAGGGCCUAGGAAUUGGCCUCUCCUAAUUGUGAGGGUGAGGGGUCAUUUUAUAGAAUAAGGACUCCUCACUUAUUACAUAUUUGCCAUUUCCUUUACCACAUAAUUACAUUUAGGUCUCUCAAGUAUUUAUACGAGGUCUAAAUACGAGACCCUAAAUAAGGUAUAAACACCUUGCAUUCAGUUUUCUCCUUCUUAACACAACUCCUAUAAGUUUCCACCAUUUGUGGAGAAGACGUUACAUACACCAAUGCAUUCCUAAUAGCUAAGAUGGAUUUAUCUAAAGUCAUCAAACCAUCUUGAACUAUUAAGUUAACAAUAUGAGCACAACACCUGACAUGCAUAUGAUUUCCCUCAAGUAUCAUUCGUGAAUUUUGCCAAUGACACAUCUUUGUCUUCAAAUAAUUUAUUGCCACCUUGUUGAAGAAGCAUUAUCGACCGUGAUGAUUAGUACAUUCUCCAAACCCCAUUCUAGCAAACAAACCUCAAGAAGUUUUCCAAUGGAGUUCCCCUUGUGAUUAGCCAUGAAACAAAAGUUUAGUAUUCUUUUGUGCAACUUCCAAUUACUAUCUAUGAAAUGUGCCGUUAUCACCAUGUAGUUUACCUUUUGAAGACUUGUCCAUGUGUCGGUUGUGAGGCUAACUCUGUUUUUAAUUUUGCUUUCAUUUCAUCAGACAUGAGGACAAAGUGUCUCCCAAGUGUCCUACGAGAUGGUGGAUAAAAAUGGGGGCAAACAACACUACAGAAAAACCUCAACCCUCUCCCUUCAACAUGUGAAAACGACAACUCAUCUAAGACAACCAUUUGUACCAACACCUUUAUGCAAUCUUCUUUUGUAUUCCCCCUAGCCAUAAGAGUACCAACACCAUCAUCAAAAGACAAAAUCUUUUGCCUUUUAUCCUGAUUUAUUCCCGGAUAACUCUUACAUCUUCCUCCUUCAAUAUGUUUUGUAACGGUUGAAGUACCAUUUCCAGAAGGGUUAGCAGCAAAGGUAGUAGAACAGUGCUUACACCUAGCUUUCCUUUUAAUUAUUGUUUCCUUGGUCCCAUCUGGCUUCACAAUGUUUCUAUGUCAUCAUAUUCAACAAACUCAUCCCAUACUUUUGCCUUAUGCCUACUGUUCCCAAGAGGAGGCAAUGGAGGAAUACCACUUGGUUGAGUUGGUGAUUGUGCCUGGGGUGGAGUUGGUGAUUAAGGUUAUGGUGGAGUUGGUGGUUGUGAUUGGGUUUGAGUUGGUAGUGAUGGUGUUGGACUCGAUAAUGACGAAGGUGAUGAUGAAGAAACAGAUGCAAAAGAAGAACAAAAACUAUGUGAUUUUGAUUGGUUCGUCAUCCCUAAACUAGACAAAAAACAAAAACCAUGUCAUGCACAUACAUAUUUUGAAUUAUAGGAAUAUACUGAGUGAUUAGAACGAGAGGAACAACAUGCCCACAUCAUAAAACUAAACAAAAGCAUAGAACAUGUUAAAAUUCCAACCAAACAGAAGCAUGAAAGACUUGAAUUAGCAUGGAUCUCAAUCACUUAAAGGCAGUCAAGGCAAAUGUUGUACUGCCUAAAGGACAAGCUACAUUCUACUUUCUCAUGGUUAUUGAUAAUAGUAGCAGAAAACACGACACAAUAUUUGUAAUGAAAAAUAAUAUAAACGAACAUUUGUAACAAAUAUAUCUGAAAUGAAACUCCAGAAAGAGAUAAGAGGCCACACUGAGAAGAUCUACAAUUAAACCAUUUUAUACCUUAGAGAAACUAUUAGGAGGAAUCCGAUGAAGACAGUCUUCCAAUGCUUUUACAUACACUAAUGAGAUCUUCUUUUCUCCUCAGAUUGAAGAUAGAUUCUUGAUUUUUGUCGUCAGUUGUGCCACUGCAGAGCAACCAAAAAAACAAAUUGUUAAUUAACCUUCAAAUCGUGCCACUACAGAGCACAAUUAAACACUUUAUUUUUCCCCGGGCAAUAGUGUUGUCAAUUAGAGUUAAACCACUUUAAUUUCAGCACAGUUAAACACUUAAUUUUAGUACAGCUAAUCCUAAUGUAAUAAUGGGGUUCUGUAAAUGUUUAAAACUCCAAAUCCUUUUUCUAUUCCACAUUGUGUAAAGAUAGAACCGAAUCACAAGAACAAAAUGCACCUUCAGAGUUGGUUAGGAUAUGUUUGGUUGCUGAGAAAAUGUAGACUAAGAAAAAGAAAUAGAAGGUUGUAAACAUGAACAUGAAUAAGAAUGCAAACAUCCAUCCAAUAUGAAAACUCGGAACUCAGGAAUUGCCAGAACCCAUAGAAAUUCACAAAAACAAAAAAACCCAGAAAUCGAAAACUGUCAUAAGCUCAAAUCAAAAUCCAGAAACAAGAUUAAAGAUAUCAAAUUCAAAAAGCCACAUUAAUAACAAGACGACCCACAUUUCAAGCAAACAAGAUUCCUAAACAUUUCAAGCUAGACGGAGGAUGGAGGACGAAGGACGAAGAUAGAGAAAAUACCAAGGAGGGAGGAUGGAGGACGAAGAGUCGUGAGCUAUCGCAGAGGAAGGAUGAUGAGGGCCGUCGCAGUAGCAGAAGCUGAGGCCGUGGUGAGGGUCGGAUCUCAGAUGUGCGAAAUGGGGGAAUAGGGAUGUGAGAGGGGUGAGGCCGUGUAAGUCAGAGUGAGGUGAUGGUGAGGACUAAGUGAGUGAGUGAGUAAAAGUGUAAAACCUAAUUGGGAUGGGAUCCAAUGCUUUGCAACUUGGUGAAACUAAUUUGUCAACCUAUUAUAUCAUGACAUGUGUGUAUAUAUAUAAUUAAUUAAUUAAUUAUUAAUAAAAUGGUUCGGUUCGGUUCCGACCGGUUCUUAUUCAUUCGAAAUUGGAACCGGAACCGGUUUGAACGGUUCGGUUCGGUUUUUGACUCAAAGUUGACUUUUCCGGUCAACACGGUUUUUUUCGAUUUUUUUAUACGGUUCGAUGCAGUUUUGCGAUUUGACAGCUUUUAUACCCACCCCUAAUUGUCUGCCCUCCCACUUCUGAUGCCCUCCCAUGUCCUCUUGUUUUGUGUGAUCACGGUUAAGCACGUUAACAUUUUAUAUUGUUUUUUUUAUAGAGAUAAUAAUACAAAAAUGAAUAGUAAUAUAAAAUAUUGAUGUGGCUUAACCGUGACCACACAAACAGGAGGGCACAGAAGGGCACCGAAAGUAGGAGGGCAGACAAUCCUUGUCUGUGAAGUUUAAAGGCAAAAUGAGGAAGAAAACAUGAUAAGACAGUGGAGUCUGUUGAUGCACAAAAUCAGCGAAGACUUUGGUACAACAGAAAGUGUCAGGUUUUGUGACCUUCGCUUGGUUGCUUCGGUCACUAGUGAGGAUAAGUACGUAAAUGAAUAGAGACAGAGAAGCAAACACAGGAUGUACGUGGUUCACCCAGAUUGGCUACGUCCACGGAGUAGAGGAGUUCUUAUUAGUAGUGAAGGGCUUACACAAGUACAAAGGAUCAAGCUCUCAAUUUAGUGAGUUCUUGUGAAUGAUUUAACACAAAAUGGCAUUAGGCAAUAUUGUGGGGGGAAUGACCCCUAUUUAUAGAAAAACUUGUAGCUUUGUCACAUUGACAUGUGUCAUGUUAUGAUUGGUUCUUGAUGUUGACACGUGCUGCGCUCUGAUUGGCUUCUAAUCUUGACACGUGUCGAGUAGUGAUUGGCCUCCUGGUCGGAGGGGAACUCUUCUGGGUCCUUGACAGUAUAGCGUUGGCCGGUGCUCGGUAGUUUCGGGAUUGGUCAAGUAUGGUACAAACAGUGCUCCCCUAAGUUCCCGAGUGAGGGAAACUCCUCGGUUGGGGACUUGCAAGAUCCAAUCCCUUGAGUAAUCACGAAACUUCUAAGUACCGAAGUGUGGUCUGAUCUUCAUCUGCCCUUCUCUGGAAGUACCUUUCCUCCAUCCGGGAAUGGUGUACUUAGCUGAUGUUGACGCACAAGGUAAUGUAUCAAUUUCACUUGAAGCUUAGUUGUAGUUUCGGGCUUAGUCAAGUGUGAUACAAACCCUAUAGUAGGAGUCCCCCAAGUCGCCGAGCUAGGAGAUCUGCCGAAAGAGGUGACAGACAAGGUAAGCAGUCAAACUUCCAAGUAAGCAACCCAGGAUCAGAGGUUUGACGUCGGCUUCCGGUUGAUUGUUCUCAUUCUCCUUGUCUCUCAUUCAACUGCCAGGAUAAGGAGAAGCAAAUGGAUAAGAGAUGAUAUGAGAUACUUUUGCUUUUGAAGAAGUAACUUUCCACAGGCUUAUUCUUGAACUGUGCUGGAGGGUUUUCUGGUGCCCUUCAGAGUAUAAGGCCGACUCAAAAAUUUGAGGGUCAAAACAAGUCCAUCAAAUCUAGAGUACGUUCGACCUUGAUGAUAUGGGAUACUUUUGCUGUUGACGGAAUAAUGAAUGUGGUAUGGAAAGGUGUCGUGCUGUAGUGAUCUGUUUCAGCUCACCGUUGAACCUUCUGCUUCAAUCUUUUGCAUGGCAGAAGUGGUGUGCAACCUUUGCAUUUAAAUGGUCCUUCAGAACAUUCCUUCAUAGUGACUCAUCCACACUUGGCAGCUUCAGUGUAAAGAGCCAAUAUCUGAUCAACUGUCAUGAGGUAUUUGCCGGUGGAAUUCGUGACCUUGACAGCAGUUGAGGAUGAGUACUCGAGAGCAAUGCUAAGUAAGCAACCAGGCAAAGGCUCCAGGCAGUCAGUUCCAAAUUGGAGGUUUGAUUUCAGGUUCCGACUGACUGCUCUCUUUCUCCUUGUCCUGCAGGUGUGGACAAGGACAAAGACAAAGACAGGGAGAAAGCAUGAUAUGGGAUACUCUUGCUUUCGACCCUGAUGAUAUGAGAUACUCUUGUUUUUGGUGUGGCUUAUUUGCUGAGGUAUUAUCGGGGGGAAAUAAAGCUGAGUAUUUCGAGAGGUUAUGUUGAGGGUGCCUUUUCGAAUGUGAGAAAGGGUUGAGCAUUUUUGCAGGUUUGCCUGUCCGUUGAGGAGGGAGGUCAAUGUAUAUAGGGAUUUCCCAAUAACAAGUAGUAAUGCUAUUCCUUUACCCUUCUUGGUCACAGCAAUGUAGUGGGAGCUGCCAGCUUCACGUGUUUUAAUUUUGUCAGAGCACUUUGAAAAAGUGGUAUGUGGUAUCUAGAAAGCUGAUAUUAUGUGUGGAGAUUACAGACAAGCUUUAUCUAAGGAAAUCUGGCUCUCGAAGUUCUGAGAGUUGUGCCUCUUCGGUUUUCGAACAAGCAAUCCCGUCGAGGAUCUGACUCUCGAGAUUCGGAAAGCGGUGCUACUCCGGUUUUUGAGAAAGUAAUUAUGUUGGGAGUCUUUUCUCGAAUGUGAGUAAAGGUUGGUCGUUCUUGCCAACCUGUCUUGCCACAAAACACGGAGGUCGACACACAUAGGGACUUUCCAGUUGUCAAGCAGUGGUGCUGUUCCUUUACCCUUAUGGGUAAUAGUAGGGUAGCUGGCACUUCGAAAUUCUCGUGCCUAAACUUUGUCAGAGAUCUUUGACAAAGUUAUAUGUGGUACCCGAGGAGUUGAUGGUGCAUAUGGAGAGCGGUGAUUGAAUCAGUAAGAUUCACGUGCUUUCUACUUCACCAGAAAUCUUCGACAGAUUGCCCGUAAUUUCCGCAAAGCUGAUUGUGCAUGUGACAGGUGCUGACGAGGCUGCAAAAGCAGGUGCUUCUUCGAUUUCUGAGAUCGGCCCUCGUGGUCUCUGAGCAGCCCAGCUUUUGAGAAAGCAUUCGCCUCUUCGAUUUCUGAGAUCGGCCCUCGUGGUCUCUGAGCAGCCCAGCUUUUGAGAAAGCAAACGCCUCUUCGAUUUCUGAAGCUCCGUCGAGUGCAGAUUUUUAUAGAGGCUGGCAUUAAGUUCCACAGCACACUUGAAUCUCUACCAGUAGAAGCUCAUUUCUUGCACUUUUAAGAUCUUGAUUUGUCUGACCUCUUCCUUCUUCAACACAUUUGAAAAUGUCUGGACCCUCCGACCGUCGUUUUGACUUGAACCUUGGAGAAGAGACAGCCACGCCUUCUCCAGACAACAUAUGGCGCCCAUCCUUCAUAUCCCCUACUGGUCCUCUUACCGUUGGGGAUUCUGUGAUGAAGAAUGAUAUGACCGCUGCAGUGGUGGCCAGGAACCUUCUCACUCCCAAAGAUAACAGACUACUUUCCAAACGGUCUGAUGAGUUGGCUGUUAAGGACUCUCUGGCUCUUAGUGUUCAGUGUGCAGGUUCUGUGUCUAAUAUGGCCCAACGCCUAUUUGCUAGAACCCGCCAAGUUGAAUCAUUGGCUGCUGAAGUGAUGAGUCUCAAACAGGAGAUUAGAGGGCUCAAGCAUGAGAAUAAGCAGUUGCACCGGCUCGCCCAUGACUAUGCUACAAACAUGAAGAGGAAGCUUGACCAGAUGAAGGAAUCUGAUGGUAAGGUUUUACUUGAUCAUCAGCGGUUUGUGGGUUUGUUCCAAAGGCAUUUAUUGCCUUCGUCCUCUGGGGCUGUACCUGGUAAUGAAGCUUCAAAUGAUGAACCUCCAAUGCCUCCUCCUUCUGGGGUUUUGUCAAGUACUGAGGCUCCGGAUAACCACCCUCCGGUGCUUUCUCUUUCUGGGGCUCUACCGACUGCUGAGACUUCCCCUAAGCAACCUUUGUGAAGGCUCCCUUUUGUUUGUUUAUUUUGACUCAUGUAUAUGUACAUAUUUGUGGCUUAUCGAAAAUAUUAAUAAAUAAGCUUUGCUUCAUUUCAACAUAUUGUGUUAAAUACACCAAAGCCUUCUUCAUAAAGUUCUUUGAAUUUUUGCUUUUGUUGAAACCUGUAUUGUUGAAGCUUUGUGAGUGAAGCAUGUAGUUUGAGGUAGUGUUCCCUUAAUUUCCCGAGUGAGGAAAACUUCUCGGUUGGAGACUUGAAAAAAUCCAAGUCACUGAGUAGUCACGAACUUUUGAGUACCAAGGCGUAGUAGCAUAUGGUGGGAGUCCCCCAAGUCUCUAGUCGAGGGAGUUGACGAAUGAGGUGUCUUGCUAAUAGCCCCGGACUUUUUCUUCAUAGAUUUUGUUGAUGAAGGUUGCUAGGCCCGAAUAAGUGGAAUUGCAGAAGGUGUAACCGUUUGAUGCAUUAACAUCAUAAUGGAAGCAUCACAAUGAUGGAAGCAUCACAAUGAUGAAAGCAUCAUAAUGAUGAAAACACCAUAAUGAUGAAACAUCAUAAUGAUGUUUCUUUGGUGGAAUUGUUUUUCAUUUCCCCUAACAACCGGAAUUGUUUUUCAACAUAACACCAUCAUCUGUAGGUCGAAUCACAAAGUUGUCUUCAUGAAAGUUGUUCGUUAAUUCCUUAACUACAACAUAUCCAAAUUGGAGAGCCAUCGGAGCAGUACAACUCCAGAAAUCCAGGUAUGAUGAGUGACUGUUUAUCAUUUGUCUGUCAACCCGUCAGAUUUGUUGUGAGCUUUGAAACUCUAUUUUCUCUUGCUCAGAUCAGCAUGCUUUCUUCAUUGAAGUUGUUCCUCAGCUUGUGAACUACAACAUAUCCAAAUUUGAGAUCCCUCGGAGCUGUAUAACUCAAGAAACUCAGGUAUGAUGAAUGACUGGUUAUUAUUUUUCUGUCAACCCGUCAGAUUUGUUGUGAGCUUCGAAACUCCAUUUUCUCUUGUUCAGAUCGGUAUGCUUUCUUCAUUGAAGUUGUUCCUCAGCUUGUGAACUACAACAUAUCCAAAUUUGAGAUCCCUCGGAGCAUUAUAACUCAAGAAACUCAGGUAUGAUGAAUGACUGGUUAUUAUUUUUCUGUCAACCCGUCAGAUUUGUUGUGAGCUUCGAAACUCCAUUUUCUCUUGUUCAGAUCGGUAUGCUUUCUUCAUUGAAGUUGUUCCUCAGCUUGUGAACUACAACAUAUCCAAAUUUGAGAUCCCUCGGAGCUGUAUAACUCAAGAAAUUCAGGUAUGAUGAAUGACUGGUUAUUAUUUGUCUGUCAACCCGUCAGAUUUGUUGUGAGCUUCGAAACUCCAUUUUUUCUCUUGUUCAGAUCGGUAUGCUUUCUUCAUUGAAGUUGUUCCUCAUCGACUCUUUCAUAACAUAUCAAAAAUUCAGGAUGAACUAACGGUUAAAUAUUUCCAGAUCUUCGAAACAUCACAACAGCUUCGAAAUCUGCAAGAAGCCGACUAUCAUGUUUGGAGCUUCAACACUUUAAUUUCCGUCGCUCAAACAGAAAUGGUUCCUUCUUGAAAGUUGUUCAUAUGCUCAAGAACUAUAGGGUGUCCAAAAUUCAGCUCCAUUGGAGAAGAGCAGAGGUUGCAGAAAUUUGAUAGAUGAAAGGAGGCGGAAGAGGGAGAGAGAGAAAAAGUCUCUUGGGUUGGAUUUCUAUUUUGGGGCAGAUUCCAAUUUUUGUAGCACCUUCAUUAUUGAUGAAUUGCUUGUACUUUUGUCCAUUAUGAAAUUUGGGACUUUGGCUUGUUGUUGGAUCUAUUAUAAUAUGUUUGGGAACAUAUAUAAGUGAAUAAAUAAGAAGGAAAAUUUUGGGCCCUUGUGGGUGUAAAACAAAAAAUGUUUAUGUUUACCCAAGUGUUUUUGUACAAGUUCAAGGGCAUCUUGGGUUUUGUGAACAAAAUUUGUUUAUUUGGAGCAAGGUUUUGUGUUGAAGCUUUGUAGGUGAAGCUUUUGUGUUGAAGCUUUGUGGGUGAAGCUUUGGAGGUGAAGCUUUUCGGGUGAAGCUUGUUGGGUGAAGCUUUUUAGGUGAAGCUUUGUGGGUGAAGCUUUUUAGGUGAAGCUUUUCGGGUGAAGCUUUUUGGGUGAAGCUUUUUUAGGUGAAGCUUUUUGGGUGAAGCUUUUUGGGUGAAGCUUUUUUAGGUGAAGCUUUGAUGGUGAAGCUUUGUGGGUGAAGCUUUUUUAGGUGAAGCUUUUUGGGUGAAGCUUUUUAGGUGAAGCUUUGAUGGUGAAGCUUUUUGGGUGAAGCUUUUUAGGUGAAGCUUUGUGGGUGAAGCUUUGGAGGUGAAGCUUUUCGGGUGAAGCUUUUUGGAUGAAGUUUUUUUUUUUUUUUUUUUUUUUUUUUUUUUUUUUUGGCGCUUGACACGGUCUUCAUUUGCUUGUUUUGUAGUGACUGUGGAAGACGGAUUGCUUUCUGAUUGAGAAGGGUUCCGGCAUCGCUUGCUAUGAAUGUAAAAGAGUGAGGGCUGAGUUGGCUAAAUUACCUCUUUAUUGAAUUCAUUGCCAAAUGGCCUUCAUUACAUAGGAUGCCGAACGGCUAUAGCUCAACACUUGUACAUCGUGAGUCUAUUUGUAGUAGUACUUCAAGUGAUCAGCGUUCCAUGGAUGGCCAAGGGUCUUGCCAUCGGAGCUUCUAAGUGUGUAAGAGCCAGGGCGACUGAUGCCAAUGACUUCAUACGGUCCAUCCCAGUUUGGACUAAGUGUGCCUUCACUCGGGACUCUGUCGCAGAGUAAUCUUUUCUUUAAGACCCAGUCUCCUAUUUUGAAAGAACGAGGCUUGACCCUAGAGUCAUAAUAGUUGGAGAUGCGCUGCUUGUAGGCGACAUUCCUCAAGUGAGCUUGGUUUCUGUGUUCCUCGACUAAAUCCAAGUUGAGGGUGAGUUGUUUGUCAUUUUCACUUUGAAUGUAGUUCUGGACUCGGAAUGUUGCUUGCUCGAGCUCAACAGGGACAACCGCCUCUGUGCCAAAGGCAAGUGAGAAUGGAGUUUCUCCUGUUGAAGUCCGAUAUGAAGUGCGAUAUGACCAAAGAACUUGGGGUACAAAUUCUGGCCAACAGCCUUUAGCUUUGUCCAAGCUGGUUUUCAAAGUGCGCUUGAUUAUUUUGUUGAUGGCCUCAACUUGUCCAUUAGACUGGGGAUGAGCUGGAGAGGCAAAGCAUAAGUUGAUGUUGAACUUAGAGCAGAACAACCUGAACUUCUUGUUGUCAAACUGUCGCCCAUUGUCAGUGACUAUCGCAUUGGGAAUGCCGAAUCUACAAAGGAUGUUCUUCCACACGAAGUCUUCUAUCUUUGCCUCAGUAAUGGUUGCCAAGGGUUCUACUUCGGCCCACUUUGUGAAGUAGUCCACUGCAACGACUGCGUAACAGACUUUGCCCUUUGCCCUUCCCUGCCGGCAUUGGGCCGAUCAAAUCAAGUCCCCACUGGGCGAAGGGCCAAGGGCUGAUCAUAGGAGUAAGAGGCUCUGGAGGGGAAUGAGGAAUAGUUGCAUAUCGUUGACAUUUGUCACAUGAGCGGGAUACUUUGAUGGCAUCCUGGUGGAGUGUUGGCCAGUAAUAUCCUUGGCGAAAAGUCUUGUGUGCUAGGGACCGAGAUCCAGCAUGAUCUCCACAGACUCCCUCAUGUAUUUCCCGAAGGACGAUUUCCGCCUCGGCAGGCGUAAGACACCUUAAGUAUGGCAGGCUAAAACCUCGCUUAUAGAGUUGAUCAUUGAUGAUCAGGUAGCGGGUAGACUUGUAUCGAAUUUGCUUAGCCUGGACUUUAUCAUUUGGGAGGGUGCCAUGAGCAAGGAAAUUAUAGAUCGGGGUGAUCCAACUAUCCCCCUGUUGUAAGUUGCAUACUUCUGCGGCCAUGGUGCUUGGUGUUGCCAACAGUUCGACAUGAAUUUUUCUUCCAAUCUUGUCUUCCACAGCUGAGGCGAGGCGAGGCGAGCCAGGGCGUCUGCAUGACUGUUUGCCGCUCGAGGAACUUGGGUGAUCUGGUAGUGGAAGUGCUUGAGCAAAAGUUGUGUUUGCGCAAGAUAUGCUGCCAUGGAGCUGUCCUUAGCAUCAAAGUUGUUGGUAACCUGGUUGACCACUAAUUGGGAGUCACUGAAAAUAUCAAUUUGUUUAACCCCGAGGUGUUUGGCCAAACGUAAUCCUGCUAGAAGGGCUUCAUACUCGGCCUCAUUGUUUGAUGCCUUGAAUUUGAAACGAAGAGCAUACUCCAUUGCUACUUUGUCGGGCGUAGUCAAGACUAGUCCCGCUCCACAGCCCUGUUGGUUGGAUGAGCCAUCAACAUACAGACUCCAUGCUGAGGUCGUUGAUUCUACUUUCUGAGCUUCCGAUGGUAAUGAAGCUACUGCUUCAGGUGUAGAAGCAAUGUCAACAGGAUAUGUGAAGUCGGCGAUGAAAUCUGCUACUGCUUGGCCCUUCUCAGCUGGCUUUGGUUGGUAGGAGAUGUCAAACUCACCCAACGCUAUUGCCCAUUUGAUCAUUCGCCCUGAAGUGUCAGGACUUUGGAGUAUCUGUCGAAGAGGAUAAUUGGUAAGCACGAUGAUGGAGUGCGCUUGGAAGUAAGGGCGGAGUUUUCGAGCAGACAUGACCAAUGCCAGAGCCAAUUUCUCAAUGUUAGAGUACCGUGUCUCCGCAUCUUGUAAGGCUUUGCUAGCGUAGUAGACAGGUCGCUCAAUAUUCCCAUCCUUUCGAAUGAGAACGGAACUUACGGCUGAAGCUGAUACCGAUAGGUAGAUAAUGAGAAUGUCUCCUACCUCGGGCUUGGAGAGUAGAGGGGCUUUACUCAUGUACUCCUUGAGGUUUUUGAAUGCCUCGGCACAUUCAUCAGUCCAUGUAAUGUACUUCCUACUUCCCUUAAGUGCUUUAAAAAAGGGAGCACAUUUGUCUGUGGCCUUAGAAAUGAACCUGGUUAAGGCUGCCACCUUGCCAGUAAGGCUCUGGAUGUCCUUUGAAGUUACCGGUUCCUUCAUGUCGAGGAUUGCUUUGAUCUUCUCGGGAUUAGCUUCAAUGCCUCGUUGGCUAAUCAUGAAACCUAAGAAUUUGCCAGAGCCUACGCCGAAGGCACAUUUGUUGGGGUUUAACCUCAUUCGAUACCUCUUCAAAAUAGUGAAAGUUUCAUAUAGGUUGGUGAUGUGUUGGUCAGCAUGUUUGCUCUUGACUAACAUAUCAUCAACGUAAACUUCCAUGCUCUUCCCAAUCUGCUCGGCGAACAUUGAGUUGACUAGUCUCUGAUAAGUCGCUCCUGCAUUCUUUAGGCCGAAAGGCAUGACUUUUGUAGCAGUAUAGUCCUCUGUCGGUAGUGAAGGCUGUGUGUUCUUGAUCCGAAGGGUUCAUGAGGAUUUGGUUGUAUCCUGAGUAAGCAUCCAUGAAGCUCAGGAGUUCACACCCGGCCGUAGAGUCUAUAAGUCUGUCAAUAAGAGGAAGAGGGAAGCUAUCUUUCGGACACCCUUUGUUUAGGUCGGUGUAGUCAACACACAUUCUCCACAAGACCUUUUGAAGCAAAAGACUUUCUUUGGUCGGAUUUUUCUUAACAAGGACCACAUUUGCUACCCAUGUCGGGUAAUUGACUUCGCGGACAAAGCCUAUGCCUUUGAGUUUUUCAACUUCUGCUUUCAUUGCCUCGUAUCGUUCAGCGUCAUAAGAUCUUCGCUUCUGUCUCACCGGCUUGAUCUUGGGGUCAAUACUCAAACGAUGACAGAUGACAUCGGGAGAGAUGCCUGGCAUGUCCUCGUAUGACCAGGCGAAGACUUCAGUGUUCUCUUUCAAAAAAGAUAUCAAUGCUAACCGAAGGGGUGGUGACAAUGUGGUGCCAAUCUUCACCAUGCGAUCUGGAUAAUCUCUUGAGAUAGGUACCUUCUCCAACUCUUCAGCAGGUUGGGCUUGCUGGGUGAAAGAGUCAUCUCGAGGAUCAUCGGGUUGAUUGUUGCUAUCAGGAAGAUCCAAGUUCGCUUCAUCUAGGCUGGUCUUUGUGACUUGGUCAUGUACAGACAGGGUUUCCUUGGGUCCGGGCAAGUGUUGUUGCUUAACUGAAGUGUUGUAACAUGAUCGUGCACUAAGCUGAUCUCCUCUGAUGUAGCCGUUGCCAUGGGGGGUUGGAAAUUUCAUCAACAGCAUAUGCGUGGAUACCAUAGCCUUGAGAUCAUUGAUGCCUGUGCGCCCAAAGAUGACAUUGUAUGCCGUUGGGCAGUCAACCACUAGGAAGUUAGUGGUAAUGGUAGCCGUGUAAGGGCCUGUACCAAUAGUAAAGGGUAAAUGUAUGCUCCCUAAGGGUUGCACGAUAUCACCGGAGAAGCUUAUCAGAGGAGAAAUCGAGCGAUCGAGCAAGUGUUCAGCUACACUGAGUGCCCUGAAAGCUUCGGCAAACAUGAUAUUGACCGAAGCCCCUGUGUCUACGAGGAUUCGUCGAACAUCAAAGUUGGCUAUGUGAGCCUCCACGAUCAAUGGGUCGUUAUGAGGGUAGAUGAUGCCUCUUUCUUCCUCAGGGUAGAAACAUAUCGGAUCCCAGUUAGGCUUUUGAUACUUCCCUCCCCUGAUGUCUUCCACGUGAAACACUUGGUGACCAGGCCUCAGAAUUCGUUCACUGUUUUUCAUGGCCCUAUUGGAAGAUUCAGAUAUGGGUGUGCCGCCGCUUAUGGAAUAUAUGACAUUCACCUGGCGUUGGUUACGGUUAUCCCUUUGAGGGUGAAGGAGGAAUUGAUCAAUUUUUCCUUCUCGUGCCAAAGCUUCAAUACGAUCACGGAGGAUGAUACAUUUCUCGCUAUCAUGGCCGUUAUGCUCAUGGUAGCAACAAAACAUGCCCGCGUUAUUCGGGGGCGUGUAAUCUGGGUGCCUCGGCUUUGGCUUUGGUAUCAGGUGAGCUAUGCUGGGGUAAAUGGCCGCGCAUGUGGCAUUCAAAGGCGUGUAUGUCUCAUACCUUGGGGGUAGGGGGUAUCUUGACGCGGGUUUGACCCACUGCAUUGACUGCCUGGGGGCGAGCGUUAUUGUGGCGAUACCCUUGGUUAUCGGGAUAGUGUCCCUUACUCUUUUUACUGAAAUGAGAGUGGUGAGGAUGGAAAUCCUUCCUCUUGCCUUGAAAUUGAUAUGUCUGUUGAUUCGGCGAAGCAUUAUGCAAGGCAUGGGGAGGUGCCACUGCUGUUUGGAAAGUCGAGGUCUUCUCAUUUAGGUGAGUCUGGCUUCCACCUCCCACUUGUUGAUAAAGGAUGGUUGUAGGGGGUUUCUCCUGAUAUGUCUUUGCCUCGGCGGAGGCAUGGUUAUAAGCCUGCGCCAUCACCUCAGAGUAAGUCUUCCAAGUAUUGGCAUUGAUCAUGUAUUUAAAGAAACAAUCACGUAGGCCUGCCGUGAAGGCUUUGAGGGCAGUCUUGUCGUCUGCCUCGGCACACCGGGAGUAUUCAUGGCUGAAGCGGCCAGCAUACAUACGUAAUGACUCGUCUGGCUUCUGGCGGAUAGUGUACAAGGUCAUCUGCAGAGUGCAAGCGAUCGGUUUGGAAAAUGUGUUGGGAAACAAAUAGUUUCCUCAAUUCCUCAAAUGAGUCUACCGUCUCAGGUGUAAGACGACAAUACCAAUUUAGAGCUCCGCCAGAGAGGGUGGAGGGGAAGAGAAGACAUCGCUCUUCGUCGGUGUGCAUCCGGUAUGCCAUGGUGGACUCAAAGAGGUUAAGGUGCUCAAUCGGGUCCUCUUUUCCAGUAUAAAGUUGCAAGCCAAGCUUUUGCUUUGUCUUUGCUUGAAGGGGGGUGUUGAGGAUCCUCCUUGUAAGAGGGCCAGGCCUGGGUUGGUUCCAGUCAGGUAUUUCAGCCUGACGUUCAGCCUUCAACUUGUUUACUUCCUCAAGAAGUUGUAGGACAAGGGGGUCCUGAGCGGAGUUAUGUGCCACUGGAGCUUUCUUUCGUAAAUCUCCAUCUCCUCUUGGAAUUAGGAAGGUUUGAUCAAGGGCAUGUGAUUUUUCCCUGGACUCGAUGUACUGGCUUCCAGGGUAUGUCUGUCGGAACACCUCUGAGUCCCCUGUACCCUCAUGUCUCUCUAGGACUUGUUGCCCCUUCCCCAAAUUGGUGGCCGGCUCGGCUUGGGCCGUGGCAGGGGACCGAGUCUCUCAGAAAUCCUUGGGUCAUUGAUCUUUGAGCUUAUAUGGAUGGAAAUUCUCUCGACGUUGCUUCAGGAAAUCCCGACAAUCGCGAAAGACGGCUUUCGAUCCUUCUGCCCCUUCAGCAAAGAGGUGUCUCCCUCCACUUCUCAUGGUUCGGGUCGAAGCAACUGGGUUAAGAGAAGCCUCAUGUUGAUUAUCAAGUCGAGGGGUAAUCUGUUCCCUAUCAGGGAUAUCUAUGUCGAAUGCAUGUGACCCUCCAUGUUGGAGGGCACCCAGUUGAUGGUUGACUUCCACGGGGGGGGGCAACAAGCUCGCGUGUCUGAGCUUGCCUAGCUUUCGUGGAGUGUCUCGAAGAGCUUCUCAUAUUGCUCCUGGAGGACCUCAUUCCUCAUUGCUAUCUUGUUGUUCUGAGCUUCCAACUCAUCGACUUUAGCUUGAAGAAGAACUCGAUUUCCUUCCUUCUUUCGUUGCUUCGCACUAUGUGCAAGGGGGGUGUCAUUCUGUGUGCUGUGGCUUCCUUCGCUUCCCAUGUUGGAGAGGGAUGCCUGGUCAAAAGAAAGUGUGUACGAAUGAUAGAAACCAGCUUGACACAGCUGAAGAGAGUAGGAAUAAGUGUCGUUCCCACAGACGGCGCCAAAUGUUGAUGCACAAAAUCAGCGAAGACUUUGGUACAACAGAAAGUGUCAGGUUUUGUGACCUUCGCUUGGUUGCUUCGGUCACUAGUGAGGAUAAGUACGUAAAUGAAUAGAGACAGAGAAGCAAACACAGGAUGUACGUGGUUCACCCAGAUUGGCUACGUCCACGGAGUAGAGGAGUUCUUAUUAGUAGUGAAGGGCUUACACAAGUACAAAGGAUCAAGCUCUCAAUUUAGUGAGUUCUUGUGAAUGAUUUAACACAAAAUGGCAUUAGGCAAUAUUGUGGGGGAAUGACCCCUAUUUAUAGAAAAACUUGUAGCUUUGUCACAUUGACAUGUGUCAUGUUAUGAUUGGUUCUUGAUGUUGACACGUGCUGCGCUCUGAUUGGCUUCUAAUCUUGACACGUGUCGAGUAGUGAUUGGCCUCCUGGUCGGAGGGGAACUCUUCUGGGUCCUUGACAGUAUAGCGUUGGCCGGUGCUCGGUAGUUUCGGGAUUGGUCAAGUAUGGUACAAACAGAGUCAAAGUGUCAAACUCUUCCUUUGACGUUGACGUUGACGUUUGAGCUUGCCAUGCUAAAUUUUUUUAUUUUUUGGCAUUUUUUAGAAGUGGGUCUCGUCAUCGAUUUAAGUGUUCUGCCAUUUUGAAUUCUUCUUGACGGAAAGGGAUCUCUUUUACUAAAUCUAUCUAAUUAAUUAAUUUGGAUUCUUAAAAUUUGAUAUAAUGGUUAAAGUUAUUAUAAUUUUUAAAAAGACAUCUUGUUUUUAGCCAUUAGAUUAAAUUUUAAGGAUCCGAAUUACCUGAUUGAGUGGAUUUGAUGGAAGGGAUCCAGAGAGGAUCCCCUUCCUUUCUUGACCAUUUUUUUUUAUUUUUUUGUUUUUUUUAAUGAUAUGGAUUCUAACUUGUUUUGAGAGUGGGAUAAAAGUGCAACAUGUGCUAGCAAUCCCGACUAGUAAUUCUUAUAUUUUUUGUGUGAGAAAUAUAUAUCGAGAGAAUCAUGAGCAUUUUAGACUCUCUGAUACAUGGAAGUUGUACAGUUUUGCUCACUCAAAAUAACAAUAAUGCUAGAAAGAAUAAAAUUUUAAAUUAAAUGAUGUGUCAACAAUGAAAAAUAAGUACGCUAAUCAACACUUGUAAUAAUUUAAUCAUCAAUAACUAUAUAAUUUAGCUUACAAAAUUUAAUUUAGAAAUUUUAUCUUCCUAAUUGUUCUUUGGUUGUGAAGGCAGAGCAUUAUGUCACUACGUUAUCAUCAUUGCAUGUUGUAGACAUCGAAAUUUUGGUAAAUAAAUGUUGACCGAUAAAUCAAAGUUUCAACGCUCUGUAUUACAUAAAUUUUACACGUAGCGUGUGACUCGACGAAAAAUUGAAAUGAGUCGGAAAAGUCAUCAAACAGGACACGUGUCAACACCUGGCAGAAACGACUUAUUUCAUCUGGAAUAUUAUAUUCAAAAUUAGGCCUUGGAAAAUUCUAUAAAUAGAAGCCAAUUUCAUUCAUUUUUUAGGAGACCAAUUCAUAUUACACCAAAACCUUGAAGCUCUGAAGCUCUGAAACUCCGAAGCUCUCAAGCAUCUAGGUUCCCGAAGAAUCAAGAAAGCCCUAUUCGUUCUUCGUUCAUCGUUCUUUCAAGAUCAAGCCCCGACCCCUCUUGGAUCAACAAUCAUCCACCUUCAAGAUCAAGCCCUGACGACCCUUUGAAGAACUCCCACCAAUUCAAGAUCAAGCCCUAAAGGCCCUUGAAGAACUUCCACCAAUUCAAGAUCAAGCCCCGACGACCCUUGAAGAAAGUGUUCAUCGUUCAUCAUCCGUUCAUCCUAAGAUCAAGCCCCAACGGCCCUUUGGAUCAACGUCGACAAAUCCACACAUCCAACCGUCCUUCAAGAUCAAGCCCAAAAGCCCUUGAAGAUUCGUCAAUCAUUGUUCUUCAAGAUCAAGCCCAAAAGCCCUUGAAAAUCCGUUCAUCACCGUUAUUCAAGAUUAAGCCUGAACGGCCCUUGAAGAAACGCUCAUCCUUAAGAUCAAGCCCCAACGGCUCCUUGAAGAUCCGCUCAAAUCCACCUUCAAGAUCAAACCCACGGCCCUUGAAGAACGCUCAUCCUUAGAUCAAGCCCAACGGCCCUUUGGAUCAAUCGCACAUCCACAAAUCAACACCUUACGGAGAUCGAAUCAGAUGAUCAAAUUUGAGAGAGAUUGUAACCCCUAAAAUCAUUAAUACAAAAUAUUAUUUUGUACACGUGUUCUUGUCUCGUUUGUUUCAGGAAUUUCGUGUUUACAAAUUUGGCACGCCCGGUGGGACAAUCUCUACCUCUCAUCUCUUUCUCCGUUUAAGGAAUCCAAACACACCUCAAAGUCAAUGGCAUCAAGCAAGGGACAAGCCGUUCUCGCAACCACUGAGGGAAGGAUCCUGAACACUUCUGCCGCGAACGGACAAUCCAUUGGCGCCACAACCGUUCCUCAACAUGCCACUUCAAAGCUGGUGCUGCUAAAGGAGCAAGGGGAGCAUUAAAGGUGCGAGUCUGUCAUCAACCUGACUUUGCUGGGGGCACCGAAGCAUGUUGCUGAGGAACACAAAAUGACAUCCUAAAGCAGCCAACGACGUUCUUCGUCAGCAUCCUGGAUGUCUAAAGGAAAGUCACGUCUAUUGGUUGCACAAGUCAUGACCAUCGGUGUUACCUCUAUUGAAGAACAACGAGCUCAAAUGAAUGAAGCGAUCGCAAGGCUAACACGGAUUGUGGGAGAAAAAGACUUGCAAAUCGCUGCACUCGUCAGCAUACUGGAGCCACAGGACGGCAAAAACCCCGACCCAGAGAAUGAUCCCUAAACAGAUGAGCUGGCGAAGAAAAUGAGCCUCUGGUGGAGAAAAUCGAUGUGAAGCCAGAACCAGACCAAGCAGCGGCGCUCAUGGGAUCUCUUUCCAUCAAGCAGUUGCAAGGGAUGAUCGCCAGAACCGUCAAGGCACAAUACGAAUGGAGCUCAAAUACCUCCAGGUUGUACUCGAAGCCUUAUUCAAAGAAUAUUGAUGCCCUAAAAAUGCCGAGGGGAUAUCAACCACCAAAGUUCAUGCAGUUUGAUGGAAAAGGAAACCCAAAGCAGCACGUUGCACAUUUCGUCGAAACUUGCAACAACGUGGGGACGGAUGGAGAUUACCUCGCCAAGCAGUUUGUACGCUUGCUGAAAGGAAACGCAUUUGAGUGGUACAGGACCUAGAGCCUGAGUCCAUCAACAACUAGGAGCAAUUGGAAAGAGAAUUCCUUAACCGCUUCUACAGCACCCGCCGCACUGUAAGCAUGCUGGAGCUGACAAGUACGAAACAAUGGAAAGAUGAGCCAGUCGUGGACUACAUCAACCGAUGGCGCACUCUAAGUCUUGACUGCAAAGACGGACUUUCAGAGACCUCAUCGAUCGAGAUGUGUGUUCAAAGCAUGCAGUGGGGAUUACACUACAUUCUUCAAGGCAUCAAACCAUGGACCUUUGAGGAGUUAGCCACCAGCGCCCAUGACAUGGAGUUAAGCAUCGCCUAUCAUGGGAAGAAAGAACCGAUCGCCGACUACAAGAACAACAAAGUUCUUAGGAUAAAGGUGGAGAAGGCUGCGUGGAAAUCCACCAAGGAAGCAAUGACGGUUAACACAGUUCCCGUCAAAGUCUCUACACGAGGCAAGGUGAUUCAAACCGAAGCUUUUCGUGAUCAAGAGAUGUGUAGACGCACUUUGAAGGAGCUUAAAGAGAAGACUUAUCCAUUCCCCGACUCUGAUGUGGUUACCAUGUUAGAAGACUUGUUGGAAAAGAAGGUGAUCGGUUUGCCUGAGUGUAGACGGCCAGAAGAGAUGAAUUGUACUGAUAGUCCAAGGUACUGUAAAUUCCACCGUUUCAUCAGUUAUCCAACGAAAAAGUGCUUCGUACUGAAAGAUCUCAUCCUAAAGCUAGCACAACAAGGGAAAAUUGAGCUUGACCUCGAAGACACGGUUGCGGCACACACUACUACUAUCGUGUUUGGAUCACUCGAACCUGUGCAUCUCCGAAGCAUGCAUGACCAUUCCCGUCAAUGUUCAAGUCACAUGGCACCUCCUACACAACCAUCAUCGAGGGCAAGCAACCAAGAUGCAUCUACUGGUGAUAAGAAAGGGUGGAUAUCGGCGACCUACAAAAAAAUAAGGAAGCCAAGACCACAAUCCACAAGGCCAAAAGAGGAGCCUAAACCUGCCCUUCGAACUUCAGUCUUCGAAAGGCUGAAUUAUUUAAAACCUAGAAUUUCGGCACUUGAUCGCAUCAGUGGUUGAGACCGAACUUCAGUCUUCAAAAGGCUUGAGACGCCAACACCGUAAAGAUUUGUCUUUGAAAGGUUAUUAAAACCCAAGAAACAAAGCGGCACAGCUAGAUCUCCUCUGCAACGGUCGACUUUGGACAUACUUGAAGAAACUAAGAAGCCUUCUAGAAACAGGAAAACAACGCCAAAGGGAGAAAAACUCGACAGUCUAGUAGGAAAAGACGAUGUUCAAAGCUUGAUUCCUUCAAGGAUGAAGCGCCAAGCAACUUUGGUAGUCGACACAAAAGGACCACUGAAGGUAAGGAGGCACACCAUCAUCUACACUGGCCAAUCUUCAUGGCAACAAACCCAAGAGGACCGCACUGAAGAGAAGGCCUAAGAAGACAGAAGACGAAAUCCCGGAAGAAGACGUCACUUCCGGCUCUGUCAACUUAAAAUCUUCAUCUCAAUCGCUGGGGGCAUGCUCCAAAACCAUGCCAGUCAAGCCAAGUAAAGUUGAUGGAUGGACUCAUGUCACUCCAAAGAAACUGCACAAGAAGCAUAUGUCUUCUCCACAAGUGCACCGAUCGGAAAGGGGGCAAAACAGCUUUCGCCAACCUCCAAAGCGAUGUGAAAGUGUUGAAGAUGAGGAAAUUUCGACACAAAGAUCGACCAUGCGCAAUCUCUUCUUCCUCAGAAAAUUAUUCAGCUACUCAGUCAAGGCUCUUUGCUAUAAAGAUUGCGAAGAAAGCCUCUCCAGGCAUCAACCAUCUUUUCCACAAAUUCACCAAUGGGAAAGGCGGCAAAGCAGCUCCUGUCAAUCUCCAGAACAAUGUGAAAAUGUUGGAGAUAAUGAAACUUUGACACGAAGAUCAUCCAUCCCCAUCACAAUGCAUGACCUCUUCCAGAAGACUUCUUCAACUACUCAGUCAAGGCUCCUUGCUAUGAAGAUUGCGAGGAACGACUUCUGGAUCGAUUGACCAACCACCAAACGUUUCUGGUCUGCACGAGCAUAAAAGGCGACAACAAACGCUCCUUGCCUGCACGAGCCUAAACUGCACGGCACCAAAUGCUCCUGGCCCGCAAAAGCAUAAACUGCGUACGGCACAAAAAAAAUAAAAAUAAUAAUAAUAUGUAUUUGAACUACGUUAUGACUUGAUCUCUUCUUUGGAAGAGUACGUAGGCAACUUGAAACUUCAAAAACUUCAAGUACAGUCACAUCAAAAUAAAAAAUGAGGAUUUUUAUUAAAGGUUUGACUAAUAAAGUCAAUUUUAUUACAAAGGUAACAAUAAAUAGUUCUUUGUAAUUUCAAAAAAAAAAAUAUGUAUAUAUAUAUAUAUAUAUGUAUAUAUGUAUAUAUAUGUGUUCUCCCAAAAUCACCAAAAAAAAAAAAAUCAAGGAUAGCAGGUGGAACUCAAGGCGCUAGACAUAAACUCUUGUACAUUGGGCUUUGGCGAUGGCCUCCAUUCCACCACUUCAAUCCUCAAAGUUCUAGAAAAGCAGAACCCAAAUCCAAGCCCAGGCCAAGCUCUCAAAACUCAAUUCAGGUUUUCUCCUCCAGCCGUGCCUUUGACUUGCAGCUUACCACACGCCACGGGACGGCCCAAUGCCACCAUCGAUUCCAUUCCUGUAGCAGCACUUCGACAAAUUCCUGCCCAUCUUCUUCUUCUCCGCCGUGAGAACAACAGCCGCAGCAGCUCAACGCCAUGCAACAACCUUUUUCCUCCUCUCCAAGCGCCUUCGAUGUCCACUGCUACGAACGGCGGCGACUCGUCCCCUUCGAAGUUGCUCUUCUCCUCCACUGAUUCGCUUCAGCCUAAACCUUGCAGAACACAGCCAUGGCAACAAGUGUAGCAAGUAGCAGCGGGCAAUGCACAAUCAACGGCAGCACAACCUCAGUCUUCUUCCUCUGCAAGCUCGACGACAAGGCCAACCACUACAAAAGACUUUCACACCAGCGGCUCUCCUAUCUGCCUCCGCUGCCAAGUCCAUCGCCAUCCCUGCCCAACUUCGAAGCCUCUCCGUCUGCCUCCAGACCUCAUGCGUGCACCACGACCUCCACCCCUGCAAUUCCGGCAAGGUUGGACCAGAUCCAUCAAGCUCAUUCUUCCCUCUUCCAUGUGAUGGUUAAUGAAGAGGCUGACGUGGCGGCAGAGAUGAAGCCUGAGCUGCAACCAUUGUCGACGACUCUGCUUGCUACGGACCGUUUCAUGUACAAGAUCUGCAGCUCGACCGACGGGGCACAACCUGCCAUGGAAGCUAGAGCAGUGGACGAGCAAAGAAGUAUGGAAGCAAUAGCUACGUCUGCCUCGAGACCUUCCUCUGCGACGGAUCUUCCCUCUCGACCUCCUCCUCAUUCCUCCACACCUACUUCCUCCGUGCUCCUCAUUCUUCCUCAUCCAAGCUCCUCUCCCGCGCCACCUUCCUCCACACCUACCUCCUCCGUGCUCCUCCUUCUUCCUCCUCCUCCUUCCUCCACACCUACCUCCUCCGUGCUCAUCCUUCUUCCUCCUCCAAGCUCUUAUCCCGCACCCUAUAUAUAUAUAUAUAUAUAUUUAUGUAUGUACGUAUGUACGUAUGUGUGCAUGAAAAAAAAAUUAUAAUAUAAAAAAUGGAAAAGAUGAGACAUGGUGCAUCUGGCACCGAAAGCAGAUGGAAAAGAAAAAAAUAUAUAUAUAUAAUAAAAAAAAUAAAAGUUGAAAGGUUCAUGAUGGUGGUGGGUGUGAGCGCCACCGAAAGCAAAAAAAAAAAAUGAUGGUGGACAACACCGUGUGAAAAAAAAAUAGUAAUCAUAGAGUCCUUUGGUGCUUUUGACACCAUGUGGAAAAAAAAUGUACACUGAGUGAAACAAAGCUCGUUUAUUGAUUUCUCUAAAAAAAAAUUUACAGAAACGUACGUUUACAUGAAAAAAAAUUACAAAAAAAAUGUGCAAACAAACGGGAAGGAGUCUUCAUUGCUCAGGUGGCGUCUCAGUACUCGACGGAGCUCCAGAAGGUGGAGGCACCAGAGGGUGAUUAUUUAGAGCCUCAGUACUAGGCAGAACCCCAGGAGGAGGAGGCAUCGAAGGUUGAUCAUUUGGAGCUUCAUUACGCGGAACAGCCCCAGAAGACGAAGGCAAAUGCUGUUGGAACAAACCCAUAAACCUCUGAUGAUCAAGUAAAAUCUGACUAUCAGAUUCCUGCAUCUGGUCAAUCUUCCUCUUCAUGUUUGUAGUAUAGUUAUGUGUGAGCCUGUGCAACUGUUUAUUCUCAUGCUUGAGCCUUCUAAUCUCCUGUUUAAGACUCAUCACUUCAGCCACCAAUGAUUCAACUUGACGGGUUCGAGCAAAUAGAUGUUCGGCCAUAUUAGACACAAAACCUGCACACUGCACACUGAGAGCCAGAGAAUCCUUAACAGCCAACUCAUCAGACCGUUUGGAAAUCAGUCUGUUAUCUUUGGGAGUGACAAGGUUCCGGGCCACCACCGCAGUGGUCAUAUCAUUCUUCAUCACCGAAUCCCCAACGGUAAGAGGACCAGUAGGGGAUAUGAAGGAUGGGCGCCAUAUGUUGUCUGGAAAAGGCGGGACUGCCUCUUCAUCAAGGUUCAAGUCAAAACGACGGUCGAAGGGGCCAGACAUUUUCAAAGGUGUUGAAGAAAGAAGAGGUCGGACAAAUCAAGAUUUUAGAAGUGCAAGAAGGGAGUUUCUACAAGUGAAAAUUCAAGUGUGCUUUGAAACGAACUGCGUGCCUCUAUAAAAAUCAGCACUCGACGGGAUUUCAGAGAUCGAAGAGGCGAGAUCAAAAUUCGAAGAGGCCAAUUCAAAAAUCGAAGAGGUGCUAGCUUUCUUAAAAGCUGGGCUUGCUCAGAAACCACGAGCCAAUCUUCCUUUCCAGAUUUGUCCGCACUUGUCACAUGCCACCUCUGCACUCGACGGAGCUCAGAACUUGAAGAGGCAAGCUAAGAAAUCGGAAAGGCAUCUGCUUUUCCAGACGUGUCAGCAUCUGUCACAUGCACACUCAGCUUUGCGGAAAUCACGGGCAGUUUGUCGAAGCGCCGAUUUCAGAUAUCGAAGAGGCAUAUACUUUUCCAGACGUGUCAGCAUCUGUCACAUGCACACUCAGCUUUGCGCAAAUCACGGGCAAUUUGUCGAAGAUUUCUGGUGAAGAAGAAAGCACGUAAAGUUUACUGUUCAAUCACCCAACGGUUGCCGACAAGAGUGAAAGAAUAGUACCGGUUAUUAAUUCAUAUAAAUGUCGACCUUCACCUUCCAUAGCAAGGCAGACAUACAUAACCUUUCUUCAUCUCCGAGAAUGCCUUCCCAACGAAGCCUCUCAAGUCACUCAGUGUUCCUUAUUCCUUGGGGUACCUCUGCAAACAAAUGACACCAAAGUAAAAGUAUCUCAUAUCACCAGGGUAGAAAGCAAGAGUAUUUCAUAUCAUGCUUUCUCCAUGUCAUUUCCUUUGUCCUUGUUCUUACCUGCAAAGACAAGGAUAAAGAAAGCAAUAUGUCGGAACCUCCACUCAAACUCAGGUAAGGAAUCGACUACCUGGAACCUUUGCCUGGUUGCUUACAUGGUAUUGCUCUUGAGUACUCGUCUUCCACUGCUGCUGUACUUCCAGAGAAGCUGCCACAUCUGCCUGGAGAACAGAUAAGGCAAGUGAAAAUGAUACCUUGCAGCAUGUGGAGACAACGUGCAGAAGAAACAAACAGAGAAGAAUGCAGCAUGCACAGUCAGCUCAGCAGAAGGAGUCUGAGUUGAGGAACUCGAGAAGAUGCCACAUCUGCCUGGGGAACAGAUAAGGGAAGUGAAAAUGAUACCUCGAAGCAUGUGGAGACAAGCGCAAUAAAGCACGUGCCGAUUCAUCCGUUACUUCUUCAAAAUAAAAAAUAUCUCAUAUUAUCAGGGUUGCAAUCACUUUGGGUGGAGGACUCGUUUUGACACUCAAAUUCUUGGGUCGACUCGCUAGGCGUUGUGGGCUGCACGUGCCGAUUCACCACCAUUGAAUCAAAUCCUUAAAGAUCAAAUCACCAACUGGAAGAAGAGCCCAUCAAUCUUGAAGAUCAUACCGUUGACCAAACUGCUCAGGUGUGAAUUAGAAAGAUUGAACAAAGCAACAAGUCGUCACCUUCACCUCGUGCCUGCUUGCCAUGUGUUCAACUUAACCUUCAAGAAUCAAGCCUCAACGGCCCUUGAAGAAGCUUCUAGCCAAAUUCAAGAUCAAGCCUCGACGACCCUUGAGGAAAUCAAAAGUCCGAUUCAAGAUCAAGCGUCCACCACCCUUGAAUCAAAUCCAGUUCAAGAAUAAGCUGAGGAAAGUCAACAAUUGGAGGAAUCCAGAAAAUCCUCCAACCCAGUUCAAGAUCAAAGCUGUGGAAAGUCAACAAGCGCAAAAACAAAUACGUGCCAAUUCAUCCAAUACCAAAGCCAAAGAUCAUCUACCACAUGAAGCUCCUUGUGGUCCAAUUUCAACCUUCAAGAUCAAGCCUCGACGACCCUUGAAGAAAUUUUCAGCCCAAUUCAAGAUCAAGACUCAACGGCCCUUGAAGAAAUCUCAAGCCCAAUUCAAGAUCAAGCCCCGAUGGCCCUUGGAUCGACAUCUACAAUAAGGGACUUCAAAACGCAUCUCCUACACGUGACAAGCACAUGUAUACGACGCGCCUUGAAGUGGGGGCAUUUGUAAACAUCGAAAUUUUGAUAAAUAAAUGUUGACCGAUAAAUCAAAGUUUCAACGCUCAUGUAUUACAUAAAUUUUACACGUAGCGUGUGACUCGACGAAAAAUUGAAAUGAGUCGGAAAAGUCAUCAAACAGGACACUUGUCAACACCUGGCAGAAACGACUUAUUUCAUCUGUAAUAUUAUAUUCAAAAUUAGGCAUUGGAAAAUUCUAUAAAUAGAAGCCAAUUUCAUUCAUUUUUUAGGAGACCAAUUCAUAUUACACCAAAAUCUUGAAGCUCUGAAGCUCUGAAACUCCGAAGCUCUCAACAUCCAGGUUCCCGAAGAAUCAAGAAAGCCCUAUUCGUUCUUCGUUCAUUGUUUUUCCAAGAUCAAGCCCCGACGCCCCUUGGAUCAACAAUCAUCCACCUUCAAGAUCAAGCCCUGACGACCCUUUGAAGAACUCCCACUAAUUCAAGAUCAAGCCCCAAAGGCCCUUGAAGAACUUCCACAUAUUCAAGAUCAAGCCCCGACGGUCCUUGAAGAAAGUGUUCAUCGUUCAUCAUCCGUUCAUCCUAAGAUCAAGCCCCAACGGCCCUUUGGAUCAACAACGUCGACAAAUCCACACAUCCAACCAUCCUUCAAGAUCAAGCCCAAAAGCCCUUGAAGAUCUGUCAAUCAUUGUUCUUUAAGAUCAAGCCCAAAAGCCAUUGAUGAUCCGUUCAUCACUGUUCUUCAAGAUCAAGCCCAAAAGCCCUUGAAAAUCCGUUCAUCACCGUUAUUCAAGAUCAAGUCUUAACGGCCCUUGAAGAAAUGCUCAUCCUCAAGAUCAAGCCCCAACGGCUCAUUGAAGAUCCGCUCAAAUCCACCUUCAAGAUCAAACCUACGGCCCUUGAAGAAUGCUCAUCCUUAGAUCAAGCCCAACGGCCCUUUGGAUCAAUCGCACAUCCACAAAUCAACACCUUACGGAGAUCGAAUCAGAUGAUCAAAUUUGAGAGAGAUUGUAACCCCUAAAAUCAUUAAUACAAAAUAUUAUUUUGUACACGUGCUCUUGUCUCGUUUGUUUCAGGAAAAUUUCGUGUUUACACAUGUUUAUGUGGAGUCACAAGAAUGUAGUUCAUAAUGACUUUUUAGAAUGCGAGUUUGAAUCGUCCAACAAAAUAGAGAUGAAUUUCAUUAGACUAAUAUUUUUUAUAGAACAAUUUGAGAAUGGUCUAGACUUUAUAUUGGUUCGACUACCAUAAAAUUUUGAGUUAAUUGUAGAUAUGAUCCCUUAACUUUAACUCAAUUAGAGUAAUAAUCCCUCAACUAAAAAUCCAUUACCAUUGGUCUCUUAACUCAUCAAAACGUGCAGCUAUGAUCCCUCAACUAAAAAUUCAUUAUCAUUGGUCCCUCAACUUUAAUUCAACUAGGGAAAUGAUCCAUUAACUUUAACCCAAUUGUAGCAAUAGUCCUUCCAACUUAACUCGUUUUGACAAAAUUUUUGACGUGGUUGACAAAAAUGACCAUAAUUACACACUUUGAUGAGUUGAGGGACCCUAAUUAUAUAAAUGGUUAUUCCAACAUAACUUAUUUUGAUAAAAUUUUGACGAAAUUGAUGAAAAGGACUAUAGCUAUACAUUUUGAUAAGUUGAGGGACCAAUGGUAAUGAAUUUUUAGUUGAGGGACAAUUGCUUCAAUUUAAUUAAAAUUGAGGAGCCAUUACUACAAUUUACUCUAAAAUUUUUAUACUGCCAGUUGGUAAGAAAUUUGUAGCUUGAAUAAUUUACGAGACACUGCUAACGACAACAAUCUAAAAUAUUUCAAAUUAAGUUAUUCAUGUGACAAUCUAACUCUUAGUCUAAUCAUUCCUAAAAUUAAAUCUUAGAUUCGAAUUCUCCUUUGCCACAUUCAUUGAUUCAUUUUUUUCAUUUGGUCUACUACAUUAGCAGCCAUGACAUUGAAGUACCCAAAACCAAUAAUCUAAUGACAAAAAUAGGAUGAAACAUUUACCACAGUUCAAAAGUAACACCAUGAUAUUAAUGCUACGUAGUUUUAAGUGUUACGGAUAGUUUAGUUGUUAUAUUUGAUUUUCAUAAUUGUUUAAAACUUUUAUUUUCAAUCUUACUAUACCAGUCAGUGUUACUUACUGUUAAAAAAAGAUUGCAAAAAAAAAAAAAAAGUAAAAUGAAAAAACAACACAAAAUACUUCAUUCAACAUUCAACCGUUUGAAAUAAACCACAUAGUAAUCUAAUUUAAAUUACAGUUAAAAUUACAGUGUGAUAAAUUUUAGGCUUAAAUGUUAAAAUGAUCCCUGUGUUUUAGUCAUUGGAUUAAUUUAGUCCUAAUGUUUUCAAUUUGGUCAAUUUAGUCAUUGUGUUUAUCUUUGUUAGCCAAUUAGGAACAUUUCCAUCUAAUUUCUAUAUAAAAUAUAUAUAUAUAUAUAUAAAUUAUUAUAAACUUAUUUACAAAAUUAAAUAUUUGAUUUAAAAUAUUUAUAAAUGAAAUAAAAUAAAAAAUAAAAAAUAUUAUUCUCCUUCCCAAUUCCCUGACCUCCUCCCUAACAUUACCUUCUCUCAUUUCUAUGUCACAACCUUAAUUAUUUUUCUGAUUGGAAGUUUUAUCUUAAAAGAGAUUGACUAAAAUGUCUUUAAUUGGUUAAAAAAGACAAACACGAGGACUCAACAUAAGGAUUAAAUCGGCCAUAUGGCUAUAACACAUGGACCAUUUUGACAUUUAAGCCUAGAUUUUAACUUGGGUGACAAGAGGAGAGUACACCGUAACUUGGAUACGAUUAAUUUUACAUGAAUUUAAUUACAAGUUAUAACCACUUAGUACUACAGUUUAGUGAUAUUCCUCAUCAUUUGUAAGUAAGAGGUCUUAGGUUCGAUUUUCGCCAAUGGUGAAUUUGAACCACAUUAUUACUAGCUCAUUGUAAGGUUAAGCCCACCCCCCUCCCAUAGUGUAGAUAAUUUCAUAUGUUCAAGAAAAAUAAAAUACAAGUCUUAUUACUUCUCUAAGCAACGACACUAGGUAUAGGAGAGCUUAUGCGCUUGGCAUAAUGGGCUGAAGAAUAAGGUCCUAUCUAAAUAGGACAAUCUACCACUUGUUUGUCAUUACAACCAAAAACUGUUUGAAUUGAAUUGCAUGCACCUUUUAUUAUUUUUGACAAGAAACGAUAACGAAAUUUUAUUUAUCAAUCAACAAAUUACACAAUUAUAGAGAUUGCUCUGGAGAUAAUUUACACUAACAUAAAAAAUAGUAAAUUCCCUAAAUGGCCGAAUAACAACCAAUGGAAACCAUUGAGAACCUAAACCAUUUAUUAGGUUGUAAUGAUUUGUCCUCAUUUUACCACAUUUUUCAAACUUAGGGGACCAAUUUGGUUUUUUUUUUUUAAAAAGGAAAAUUAAUGAAAAGAGCUUGAAAACUUUGAGUUUUAACGAUAAGGACAAAAUAAAAGGUAAAGUAAAUAGUAUCAUGAUUGAUUUUUUAGUGUAAAAAUGUGGUUUUUCAUUAAAGUGAACAAUACCAUGAGUUUUUCGUUAAAGUUCCCAAUCUCUUAAUUUUUUUUUUUUUUAACAAACGAUAUUUAUUUACACUAAAAGAGUGGAGGAGUGAGCUAAGUUUUACAAUGGGCUAGCCAUAAUAAUGUGGUUCAAAUUCGUCUUUGACGAGAAUCGAACCAAUAUCUUUUAAAUGCCACUAGAUUGUAAUACUAAGUGAUUAAGUAAUCUCUUAAUUACAAACUCUUGUAAUACUCGACAAAUCAUUUAAAGGGAACAAUGGUUUGUUUGAUUUUGCAGCUGCACAUGGAAUGCCGAAACAAUGGACGUCUAAGUGCAGCUGACUGUUCUUUCUUUUUCUCCCUAGUUGGGUGUAACAUAGAUAACAUGUAACAUUAUUGGGUACAGAACUCAUAUAUACAUAUAGAAAGAGAAAACAAUACGCCAAAUUCCAUUCAAUAUUAACAGCUUCUGAUAAAAUACACAAGGAUAUACUUAUAGAAAGGUUUUAGAUCUUAGACUACAACCAUAUAGUUUGAUAAUCAUUCCAAUUAUACACAAAAUCACAUCUUUAUUAUCGAUCAUAUGUAGACUGAUAGAAACUCCAGCAACCAUGCACCAACAACUGCAGGACAAAUAAAAGCAUUGCCAAUAAGGCGAGAACUACGGCUUGGUUGAAUCGUCAUUCCGCUGAGGACUUGAUUAACGACUUCAGGGAGAUAUUUUCGGGAAAUUGAAAGAAUGUUUUCAAUUGCUGCCAGCUACCUCUUCCUUUUAUUCGUAGUUUGAUUUUCAAAAUUAGAAGCGAUGCUGCUAAAUUGUUUAUCCUUAUCAUUGGUUGAAAUACUCUUCAGAUAAGAAUCUUUAUCCCCACAUGUAGGUUGACAAUUGUUGUAGCCGUUGUCACAAAUAUCGGUAUGCAGAACGCCUCCUAGAUAUUUUUCUGGUUGAACACAUGGCUGCAAGAUUAAGAAUCACAAACAAGCAACUGUUAAGUUUUUAAUAUACAAGUUGGUGUCAAAAAUAAUGUUCAAGCAUGAUUAUUCUCACCUCCAGAAUCAUGCUAUCUGUAUAUUGAUUUUUCAAAUCAAAUGCAUUGUAGCUAACCGGCUCAUUUUUAUCAUUGGUUGAAAUAUUAUUUUUGAAAUUAACAUGUGAAUAUUUAUCUCCAAUUUGAGGCUGCCACUUUAUGCACUAAAAAAUAUUGGCAUCCAUAAAAUUUUCGAGUUUUGUGUAUAGUGGUGACUGUUGUGCGACAUGUAAUUGAAAUACAUUUGUGGCUAACAGGAUUAAAAAUCACAAAUAAGAAGGUUUAAGUUUUAAUAAACUUUUGUUUUAUUAAAUUUAAUAUUAGAGUAUUCAAAUAAGCAUGUUUAUUCUCACCUCUUGAGACAUAUCAUCUGCAGCUUUAUUUUCGAAAUCAGACACGGUGAAGCUAUGAGGUUCACCUUCAUCACAGGUUGAAAUAUCAUUCUUAUCAGUAUAAGAAUAAUUAUUAUCUCCAAAUGGUGAUUGUAUUGUAUUACAAUCAUCACUAGUGCCAUUGGCUUGCAGAACAGCUCCCAGCUGUAUGUUUCCUGAUGACAGGAAUGUAGAGGAAAGGUAGUCUUGUGGUGUCUGGUGCGGUGUUUGAGGGGGUGAAUUCAGAAUUUCUUCCAUCUCAGCACGCAACUGGUGGAUUAAGAAUCACAAACAAGCAGGUGUUAAAUUUUAGCAGGCUUUGCGAGUCCAUACAAAAAAAAUGUAUAGUAUAUGAUUAUCUUACCUCUAGAAACCUAGCAAAUGCAGUUGGAUCAUCCAAAUCCGGGAAUUUCCAGUCACCAGUUUCAUCAUCACCAUCAUCAAAGCUCAAAAUGUUAUUACUGUCUAUAAGACGAGAACCAUCUGGAGACUCAGAGCUAUUAACAUCUCCUCGCCCUUUGUAUCCCAGAUGUUCCACUGGCUCUGGAAUCACAUCACUUACCGCAGCUUGAUUGUCUUCCGAGUUAGCACCUGAAUCAGCUAAUUUGCCGCAGAUUGGAUCACCCUUCGGCUUCUUAUAACUAGGUGACCUGUUCUUCAGGAGGCAGAGGACAAAGGAACCCACCUCAGUUUCUUUAAACUCAUGGAUUACCCAAUCGGUCUUCUUUGCUUUCAGCCCACGACCUUCGUGGAAAGUCAGAAACCUCUUCUUCCCAAUCACAGAUUCGGA
rnacentral:lncRNA from 1 species